ACAACUUGGGUGGUGAGGUAAGGAAAUGCGGGCUGUGGCGUUCAACCGCGUGUUUGCGCUGUGCAACCUGCCGUGUCGUUCCGCUCGUGUAUGGAUCUUGGCUGUUGUUCGUGCGUUUGCCGGUUUGUGCUGUCACGACGCCCGAUGCCUGCUCCCCGCAUCCGCACGCACACUCAGGGCGGCGAGGUGGGUACCUGUGAGCAGGACCAGCAGUGAGCUAUGGCAGGGACCUGUGGCAGGCAGUGUCUGCAGUGAGCGGGGGCGCGGCCCCAACAGGCCGCGGCGGCAGUCGCCUCCUCUGGACCCUUCGCGCCUACCAUGGACUCACACCAGCAGUUCUACCUGUAUGGGUGGGUGGCCAAAGAGCGGCUAGAGCGGGGGCUGGGCUGGGCUGGGCUGGGCCGUUAUCGUAUGUUGGAGGGGACUGUUGGAUCCGGCUGACCUUCUAGCGUUCUUGGUUUGAAGUACAUGUUAACAGGAAGGUCAGCUCCGGUCAACGCUGCCAACAUCCGUGCCAGCUAGCGCACUGUCAGCAAGUUGUUAGGGUUGUUCGGUAAGCUUGAAGGGCUGGAUUGGGCACUGUCUAUCAAUGCGUCACCGGUGUCUUUUGACACCACCCUGGACUCGGAAUCUCGGAUGCUGGAUGGUCGGGGAGAGCGCUGGGAUAGGAGCAGUAGCGCCAGCAGCAGGCAGCAGCAAGGGGCCAGGGCCAGGGGUUGAGUGCCGUGGGACCGGCGGCAGGCAGCGCAGGAGCAGUGUUGCUACGUAGGGUGUACUUCCGCUGACCCUCCCAACCCCCUCCACGCCACGCCACGCCACGCCUUACCCCUUCCCACUCCGUUCGGCCCCCUCCCCCUCAGGAGUCAGGACUGGGGCCAGGGCUGGGGCAUUGCGACAGCUGCUAUUGAGUGGCUCGGAAGGCCGACGCUGGAGAGUGCGGAGUGUGCGGGAGGCCUUCGAAGGAGGCCUUGAGGCCGGCGGCUGUGGGGCAAAGGGGCAAGGGCAGGUGGCGCAGGGGCGGCGGCUGCACGUGCGGAGGCAGCGGGGCGAGCUCAGCCGUGUGGGGAGCCGCCGGGUGAGUGGCAGCCUUGCAGGUGGUGGCGCGUGGGGCAUUCGAGGUGGGGCAGCGCGUGUGCGUGGGCGUGCAUGUGAGGGAUAGGGUCGUAGGGGGGAUGGAGGGCCGGGGGAUGGAGGGCCGGGGUCGUGGCGGAGCCCAUUGCACAGGAGGCGGCUGGGGACACGGGUUGGGCAGGGGGGAUUACGGAUGGAUGGGCUGCGAGAAGGCAAGAAGACAAAACUUUUGUCUAUCCAUGCGGCGGCUGUAGCUGCACUACUGCUGGUGCAGGUGCGGCCGCCUCCGGCAGCGGCAGCACUGCUGCUGCUGCUGCUGCUGCUGCUGCUGCCGUCAGGGCCCGUGCUGCCGCGCGUGGGGCGCUGGUGCUGCUGCCGCAGACGGAUGCGUUGGGUUGGUAGCUGGGGGAUGUGGGUCGGGUGGGAUUCGGCGACAUAUGGUGAAGGAGCACGGGAUGUGGGUCGGCCGGAAGUGGGGAGUUGGGUCGUGGGUACUGUAGGGGCAUGCAAGGGCGUGAAAGUGUGGGCUGUCCCCUCAGCUGCCCUUGUGCAUGCCACAUGUCAGUGCUCACGCCAUCGGCUCUAUCCCUGCCCCUUGCGUCUCCCCUCUCACCCGCCGGCCAAGCACCUCCCGCCCACUGGUCUUCCCUCUCGCGCUUCUCUGCCCACCUGCUUGCGAGGCUGCGACGCAGCCCUGCCGCACACACACUCCAUAGCAUCCCCUCGCGCCCUGCCCAGCACCACCGCCAACACCCGUCGCCGGAUAUAGGUCUCUGCUUUGUAUGUGGUUGGGAAACACCUUUCCCCCUCACCGGCCCACGCCCCCACCAUGCCUCAGCGCUAGCUGGCGCCUGAUCAUGAGCUCUGACCGCACUGCUGUGGCCCUGGCGCUGUUGGGCUGCCUGCUAACAGCCGCCGCCGCCUCCACCACCACCUACCUGGCCCUACAAGCCGCAGCAGCAGCCAGAAGUGCCGGCACCAGAAACAGCAGCAGUGUCGAUGUCAGCACCGGUGGCCUCUGCUGAGAGGUCGGGGCUCUGGGUGGUGGUGAUGGUGGGGGCGGGUUGGGGGCGGGCAGCGGAGGGGCGGCCCCGCGCCCAUUUGCACUUGCUGUUGAUGGGCGGGGUUGGUGGCGGCGCAGUCCCUCGCCAACCUUGGAGCUGGCUGAUGUGGCGCGAUGUGAGGAUGACUAGAAGUAGGACCUGGCAAGACGUUGAAGGCUGGAAUGCGGAAGGCCGGGUGGGUUGAAAAUUGGACGCGGUUCAGUUGUGACAGCCGAUCGAGAAUGUCGGGCACAAGGUUGACGCGAACACCGGAGCUGAAGACUAGAAGGAGGAGGAGGAGGAUGCGGAAUGUCGGAUACCUUGGCAGCGGUAAGCGCAGUGUUGGGAGGCGGGGGAAGGCAUCUGGCGUUUGGCGGGCAACUGAGGGAACCGUAACACGGGGCGGUUUGAGGUCACAACGCAACCUGUAUGCUGGAGGCAGGCUGCCAAAGCGAUCGCGAGUCGGGUAGACAUGUGUGAUUGUGUGUAAGCGCACCGCAUACUCGUGGGUGCGAAGGGCUCGGGGAGACACGCGCACAACGAUGGAGCAGCUCGGCAUGGAGGAGGUCCGUUGCCAACGGGGGUAUGACACCGAGUGCCCACCAAGGCAGUAUAUAUAUAGAAGUUACUCAGCUUUAUUGCAACACCAUGGAGCUACCCACGAGCCUACUCGAUUUGCUGUCACUGCCGACACCGGCCCGCCAGCUCAUUUUGGGCGGCAAGUUCGAUAAAGACUUUGCUGGCUGUCGGGCGGUGUGCCGAGGCUUCAGGGAUGCCUUCGACAGCACCGUUACCGAGGCACACCUCCAUAUAGACGCGGCGGCUGUGAGGCUAUGGACCGACGGGCAGGCCCCUCGUCCCUCGCCUCUCGUGCGCUUCCCGCCCUGCGCGAAGCUUGCGAUCUUGUUUGCGGGCGCAAAUCACGAGCUCAUUCUUUUCUUGGCUCUGCUCGGCGCCACGCCCGAGACCCGACAACAGCUCCCAGGCGUGCGCAGCAGUGGAAGGGUCGCCGUGAUCGACAGGCCCGACUCGAUGCCCAAUUUGUAUGCGUCGCUAGGGGCACAGCUAGCAUGUCUAGAAGAGCUGAAGCUGGAGGUCAGAGGGCCCUUUGACUGCUGGUGUGCCGACGGAGACAGCGAACGCGUCGCAAACGUGCUGGCCAUGCUAGCCGAGAACUGUCCGCGCUUACGGCGCCUUCAGCUGCCGCUGUUGGGACCAAAGGACAUGGAGCACCUGCGGCCGCUGUCCGGCUGCGCGCAGCUUCGCGAGCUGGUGCUCAAGACAGGGGCAGGAGGGCUGACCACCAGCGAUGGCGGCGUGGCGGCACUGCAGCAGCUCUCUCAGCUCGAGCAACUGGCGCUUAUUAAUUUCGACCUGCCGCGCGAAUACAGCAGAGGGUUGCUACAGCAGCUGAUGAGCGACCGCCGGCCCCCAGGCCUGGGGCACCUUACCAUGUUGGAGUCGCUCGAGCACGGCGACGGCGUGGCCGGCUCCUGCAGCAUCACAUACCAGCACCCCCACCCGCCGCUGCACCCGCCACCAGCAGCGGUGGAGGGGCUUGCCAUGCCUGCGGACGCGGCGGCGCGAGGUGCGGGCGCAGGGGCGGGAGCGGCGGAGCCGCCCGGCCCGUCAGCCCCAAUGGUGGCGGCGGCGGCAGCGGCGGCAGCAGCGACGGCAGAAGCGCCGCUGCCCAUAAUGCAGCGUGUUGAGAUUGGCGGGCUGUCCUUUAGGCCGUGGGCGAUGCCGGCCAUGGUCCUAGCAGCCGCGGUCCAGCUGGGGCAGGACUUCAUUCCGGAGCUGGUCAUUGCAGACAUAGAGCCUGACGAGUCGUCACUCGACCGCCUGCGACCAGACCAACCGCUGCCACGAUUGGCGGCUGGCUCCGAGCGGAUGGGGUUGGGCCGCCUGUCGCUGACGGGUGGUGCUGACAUGAAGUCCGUCUGCUCUGUGUUAUCAUUGAUGGGGCUGCCGCAGUCUUUGAGGCUGCACCAUGGAGAGUGGAGCUGGGACGACGACCUUAUGGGCGGCGGCCGCAGGUACCGCCAGGCGGCGGCGGCGGGUGCUGCUGCUAUGGCUGCUGCAACUGGCACUGCCGGUGCGGCGGGCUCAGCAGCAGCGGAGCAGCUGCCGCCCGGCGGCCCGCCGCCAGACCUGAGCUUGGGCGCAGUCGACCUGGAUUCCGUGCUGGAGCGGGGGCUCGACCGGCUGUCGGCGUGGGGGCUGCUGGACGGCAGCAAUUGCAGCGACGGCGGCAGUGACAGCGGUGGUGCCAGUGACGGCAGUGGCGGUGACAGCGGUCACGGCGGUAGCAGCAGCAGGCCCAGCAGGCGCGUGAGUGGCGUGGGCCCGGCUCUCGCAAUCCUGCGAGGCGUGCCGCCGCCGUAUUCCAUUUGGGUUAAGGAAUGGCAGGACGAUGUGGUGGGUACGUUAGGAGCGGAGACCGGCAUAUUUGCCGGGCUCGACUCCAGCACCAUUGAGCGGCUUCUGCGUGGCCCUAGGAAAAUGGUAACACUCGUGCCGCCGCGGUCUGUGGUGGUUGAGUGCGCAUCCCGCAGCGACGCGGAGGAACUGGUGGGCCUGGUGCGACCCGGCAAGGAGCAAACGGUGGAAUUGGUGCCGUUGCAGCCCGGCGAGCUAGCCCUCCCUGCUGGCCACCACUUCCGGCAGUGCGUGUCCGAGGUAAGAUGGGUCUGCCGGUGGCUGGCGCAAGCGCGCGCUUGUGUAGGUAGUCGGUGGGUUGCGUGUGAGCGUGCACACUCGUUCCCCUUCUACGGAGCAAUGACAAGACUUGCGAGCUUUACUGUACCUGCAUCUUGCUCGCUGCUUCACCACAUGUGCCUGGUGCCGGCGGCGUGCGUGCAGGUGCUGCUGGAGCUGUGGGCGAUGUCGGGCGGCCCGGGCGAGGGCAGCGGCAGCAGCGGCAGUGAUGCCGCUGAGGAAGGCGACGGCAGCGGCAGCAACUGCAGCGACGGUGGCGGCGGCUAUGCGAGUAGCGACAUGGACAGCGACGAUGGCGGCAUCAGCAGCGGCGCCGGGGAUGGUUGCAGUAGUCGUCACGGGGUGGAGCUGAGUGCGGAGCUGCACAAGCGGCUGGAGAAGCUGCUGGAGCUGGACUACGAAGUCAGCAUCAAUUGGGAGGUCCGGGACUGGCGCGACUUUAGUAAACGGGUAUGGUAGGGCUCUAGGGUUAGCGGGUGGAAGGGGCGCAGUGCUGACACGGUAUUGCGCACUGCUGCGGGGGGGGGGCAGCUUGGCUGUUCACACGUGUAGGCCAACGGAACUGGCGGGCGGAUACGAGGAGUAUGUUAUGUGCUGUGCAUAUAGUUUGGGCAAGCUGUGCACGUUGCGACGACUUGCGUUAUGUGGAUGGCUUCACAACGGCGCAAGCUCAGCCCACAUGAGUGGGGCCGGGCGUGUCGGGGCUGCUUGCACUUUGCGCGGUAACACGGAACACAUAGGGGUCUGACACGUGCCUGGGACGGGGCAGAGGGCUCACAGGUGACACGACGUGUUUCCGCGCAUGUGGCUUUGCUCGUGUAGCGGGAAACGGAACAUGUGUGCGCAAGGUUGUCCAAGUUUGAUAGGGUUUCUGACGUUACGUUUGCGGGUAGUUGCGAUCGGGCGGCUAUCGGCACCGCACCAACGGCGGAUGUUUGUUGAGGUGCUAGGUCUUAGCUGUGGCAGACUGCGACUGACGACUGGGGGCGACUUGUGCGAUGAACGAAAGCAGUGCAGCAGCAGGCCCGGUCCUCUCGCAAGAUUAAUGAGCGGAUGGCGUGCAAGUGCGGAUGAGGGAGAGCAUGCCCUACUUGACUGUAAUAAAAUGAGGAGUGAACGAUACCCCACAAACGGUACCGACCGUGCGCGUGGCGAUUGUCGGAGUUGAAGGUACGGUAAUAGCUUUCUUGGCUCCGCAUAACUACAUGACCACAGACCGGGACUGAUCGAAGCACAGCGGAGGUCAGGGCAAGCAUGGCGGCUGCAGUGGUGCUGGUUGGGGAAAGAAUGAGGCGGGGCCCAACAGCCCGGUAUCUUUGACGUGGAUCCGGCCUUGUGGUUGGUCAGCAGGGUCGCCUACGGCCAGCCGGGCAGCCGGGCUACAGCGCCACAGCACACCGUGUCAAAGGAAGUGUUGGGCAGCAGGGAUGCAGGGCCGCAGACAUUCGGAAACGGCCGUCGGUGCAAGGGCAAGGCAAGGGCAUGGGCAACAAGGGCCAGGGCCAGGGCAACAAGGGCCAGGGAUGAUGCUGGGGCAGGCAGCGGACUCUUCAUCGCCACAGCAGCUACUGGGCGGUCUGGCGGGGCGGCGCACAGGGUACAGCGGCACAGGGGCAGGGGCGCCUCCGGAAGCGGCGGCGACGGUGGGGAAAGCUCAGCCGGGUGGGGAGCAGGCGGAGGCGUGAGAGGCCUUCGAGGUGAGGCAGCGAAAGGGCCGCGGGCGCGUGCGUGUGUUGGGAGGGGCAAGAGGGGGAAGGGGGGCGAGGCACGGAGCUGCGGCCAAGGUGUCUGCUUGGGGCAUGUGGACGGAGUACCGGGCAAAAGGGGCUGAGCCCCUCCACAGUCUGAAGCCGAACAACCUCAUCGCCCGGACAGUCGGGGUCGGUUUCCACAGGCACAUAGCCAAACCCGGUGCCUAUCUAGCAGUCGCGAUGCCACAGCAGAGCCAACCCGCAGCCAGACGCAGCACAAUUGUCAACAGCCGCACUACUUGUCAUGCCGCUACGCAUGCCCUGCCAGCCCCACCACUGACCGCUACCAAGACACCAGCCGGCUCCUCAGCCUGCGCGCUUGCGCCGCUUCUUGGGCGGCGCUGCGCUCUCCUCCUCCACGUCCAGUGUUGCGUUUUUUCAAGCACGUCAAUUUAAUUCUGCGCCUCGGGCUCUUUACCUCGCAACGAGUCGCCACAGUCGCCGUCAAUUGGGGUCCAUGGACUGAAAAGUUGCCGGUGGCCUCUGCUGGUUGUAAGGGUGAGCCGGGUACCCAGCCGAGCCAACUUGGGCUGCUUGCGCGGGGGUUUGAAGCUGGCUGGAGCGGGUCGCCGCGGCAGUCCAGAUGCCUGCGCAGGGGAAUGGCAGAUGCAGCGGCGCCCCUACCAGCGCAUCUGAGCUGCCUGUCGUAGCCACCUAUUUGCGUGGUAAAAUGCCGCAAGAGGGUCUGGAUCAUGCCCGCCCAGUCCCACCCCGCCUCCGUAAACUCAGUAACUUCAGAGUCCCCGAACUCAAAACCCCCACACGUUCAUGGGCAGCGUGUAGGUCUGUGUAGGUGUACCGUAUGCCGUAUGCCAGUACUCCGGCCAGCUCCGGCACGCAUACACAGCCACACUACUGAGCUGAGAAUGUGGACCAUGCUGGCCUGUACUGAGUGCGUGCUGAUACUUAAGCAACCACAACACCUUUAUGUAUGGUGCGAGCUGCCGAACUGCGCUGCAGUUGCAACAUUAAACGGUCGUGUCCUGUACGGUAUCCUCUCCUGCCGUUCAUCCUCCCUCAUGUCAUGACAUUGGCCAUAACAUGAUGCUUACGGGGCACGCCCGUGGGGCACGCCCCACGCAUCGCUUGGCGGUCCGCUAGUGGCACGCACGCACAUCUGCGCCACGCAGCGGAUGCUUGCGCGGAUGCUUGUAUGUGAUGGGCUGCGGCCAUGCCGCUCCAUGCGCUACUUGAAAGCUCGAAUUGAAUGUCGUGUGUUGCGACCGUUCAGCUCGCAAGCGACCGGCUGGUUCCGGACAUGGCAGGACCCACGUCCAUCAUACCCGCACUCUUGUGAACAAGUCGCACCUGCUAUGACUACCAUAUGUUCGUUUCCUUGUAGACGACACUAUUAACAAAAAGCUGGGCUGGUGCGCGUCUCCAUUUCCUUGACCCACCACUCGUCAAGCGCGUAGUCGUAUAAGGCUUUCAUUAUGAAGCUUGGACUUAGGAUAUACGAAUGCCGUUGCCGGCAGCUGGUGGCUAGGGCUGCUGGGCGAGUUGGAGGAGCGGCAACCCGGCGGAGAGUUUGGAGCACAGUCGCUGCCCUAUCUGGGCAGGCAAGUAGCUAUGUGUAUAUGUGCAACAAUUAGAAAGGCGUCGUGACGGGCACGACUAAACGCCUCAACGCGACCUGGCGCGCUGCAGGCCUCAGCUGCUCGGCCAGGGCCCGAGAAGCCGACUUCGGCAUGGCCAAACAUCACUCCUGUUAUAAAAGAGAAGAUUGCGAUGUUCGAGGGACUGCAGGGCGACGAUUUCAGGUGUGUGCGAAGAGACAGCUCAGCGGCAAUGGCGGGGCUCUACUUUGUUCGGUCAGCGUUACGCGAAAUUUGAUGGGAAUGCUCGUGUUUGCGGGUGGUUCACCCGUUGGGCCUGCGUGCUAGGGGUGGGGGCUGGGCUGCCAGCCACGGGCAUACGGUGUGGCGCUCUAAAGCUUCCCCGACCUCAACGCGUUCCCGGCUGACACGGCAGCUGCCCCGCUUAUGUUGCACUGGCGCGUGGCACUUGUGCUGGGGCCGGGGCCGGGGCCGGGGCCGGGGCCGGGGCUGGGGCUGGGGCUGGGGCUGGGGCUGGAGCCGGGGUGGGCGAGCGCAUAAGGCUGCAGAGCGUGGCCACACGACGCCUUCGCUCUGUCCAGCCCACCAAGCUAUCUAGGCGCCUGGCGCGUUUAGAUGCGGCCAGGCCGACCUCCCCAGCAGCUCGACCAGGCCACUGGUUGAUCAGGUGCAGCCACUGUAGCGGCUGCUGAGUGCUGACAUGCCGCUGGGCUUGCCGUGCGCGGCGACCCGGCUGCGCACCGGCCGUGUUGGGGGUAGGGGAGCAGUGCGCAGCGCGGCAGUGGUGCUACCGCAGACUGGCCUUGCAAGAGCAGGAAUGAACACGAGUUCGGGCCGCUAAACCGGCAGCCGCGCGCUCCUUGCGGCACCUGGGGGCUGCUGCAGGUCAAUCGUGUUGUGGUUUGGUAUUGCCUCCCACAUCCUGACGCCGCGUCGCCUCCAGCCAGCCAUCCUUUCACGCUUUCCUCCAUGCCGCCCGUGCCUUGAACCCUCCCUCCCUCCACCGUGCCCCGAACCCUCCCUCCCUGCCCUUCCUCCGUCCCGCUGUGCCGCACGCAGGCAUCCGCUGGACCAGCAAAACACCAGCAUGCUGCGGGCGGUGCCGGGGCUGGAGAUGGUGGCCAAGAACUUCAUGGGUGAGGCGGAGGCGGCGGGGGCGGAUGUUGGGGCCAACGGAGUGGACUGAAGGGUGUUGUUGGGGGUGGCGGAGGCGGAUGGCGAGCGAGAGGAGCCGAGUGGGGCUAAGAACUGAAAGGCGGCCUGAUGGGGCGCGUGGCGGCGGAGGGCGUUUGGAGGGUUGGGAUGGUGGGGCUCGUGGGACUGGUGGGGCUGGUGGGGAUGACCGGGCCACCAGUUCGGGAGUUCGGAUGCUUACCGCCAUUCACCUGCACCUGCACCUGCACCCCGUGCCUUCACCCGUACCUUGCGCGCGCUGUUACCAUCCUACUCAUUCGUCUGCCCCCGUCACACGCCCGUCCUGCCCGCCCCUGCGUCCCUAACGACUGUCUUGCCCGCCCCUGCCUGUGCCCCUGCCAGGCCCGGUGGCCGAGCAAGUGCUGCUGCUUGAGAACAUCAGCACCAGCAUCAAGAUCGGGCCGGAGCAGCUGCCCUCCAUACACAAGCUGCUGGUGGACGCGGUGGGUGAUUGCUAGGGCGGAGUGGGUUGGAUGGUUUGAUGGUGGUUGAUGGGGUGGGUGAGCGGGUGGAUGUGGUGGUUAGUGUGAGAUAAGGCAACCGCCCCGGUGCAGCCCAUUCGGGGCUGGGGCUGGGCGCUGAUGGGAGCUAACCGACUAGCGUUGCGCCGUCGUGGUGUCCGCAGGCCACACGGUCUCUGUCGCCAUGCCCCGCCAUCGCACGCUGCCUUGACCCGCCCUCGCCUUCAAUCCCGUUUCUUGCUGUGACCUCACGCGCCUCAUGCUGCCGCCCCCUGUCCCCGCCCGCAGGCCCGUAUUCUGCAGAUGGAGCCGCCGGAGCUGUACGUGCGCCAGGUGCGGCCGUGGGCAGCCCGGGGCAGCCGCGUGGCGAACUGGGGUCUGGGGGCCUUGGGGUCUGGGGUCUGGGGGCUGUGCUGGUGUCGUUUGGCGGUUUGGCUGAAGGACUGGAGCAGGUGGAGGGGCUCGCGUUGCUUGAACCGUUGGUGCUAUGUGCUGACAAGCCCGCCCGCUCUCCUCACACUCGCUCCGCACACCCCACACGCCCCACACGCUCCGCCCCACUCCCCCACCGCAGCACCCCGUGCCCAACGCCUACACACUGGCCAUCGCCGGGCACAAGCCCUUCAUCGUCAUCCACACCGCUCUGCUGGAGCUGCUCACGCCCUACGAGCUGCAGGUGCGCGUGUAGUCAUGACUGUGUGGACGUGAGCGUGUGUCAGUGUUACGUGCAUUAGAGAGCACAGGGAGAAGGGUGGACACAUGCAAAUGCGCAAGCAAAGCCGGCAAGAUCGGUGUUGCAUGCCGUACCGCGCGGGCGAGACGAAGGUGUGGAUGUGCGUGCUGUUUGUGGCCGACGCAUCCCUACACUUACAUCACUCGCUGCUUUGGCUUGCAAUUUGACCAACCUCCAACCUGCCAUCACACAACCGCAACCCCGCCGCGCAGGCUGUUCUGGCCCACGAGCUUGGGCACCUCAAAUGCGACCACGGGCUGUGGCUGACGGUGGCCAACGUGCUGGCCAGCGGCACCGUGUCGGUGCUGCCCGUGGUGACGGGCAUGGUGCAGGUGGGCUCGCGGGAGCUGUGUGUGUUUAGUGUGACACUAAAGGGAAGGAAAACACGCAGGGCUGUGCGCGCGCAUGCCUGGGGAUACCGUAACAGGCAGUGUGGGGCUGCCGUGGUACUAGCGAUGCCGCCAAAUGCAAGACGCUGCUGCUUGCUACGAACCGCCAUACCACCACAUUACAGCACCGUCAUGCAAUUCAGCACACACAUCAUCGCGCCAGCAACGCCACCACCACCACCAAUCACACCCGCAGGAGGCGCUGCUGCGCUGGCUGCGGGCGGCGGAGCUCACCUGCGACCGUGCGGCGCUGCUGGUGGCGCAGGUGGGCGCCUUUUUGGGGAGGGGCGCGUGUUUGCAAGGGCAGGGGUCCGCGCCCGGUUCAAUACAGUGCGGUGCGGUACAGUGCGGUGCGGUGCGGUGCGGUGCGGCGCGCAACACCACGAGACCUCGUCUCCACGCGCUUCUUGCACUGCAUGCCCGGGUUGGACGACGCUUCCCCCUGUGACACCGAUCGUAAGCUUGGGCACACCGCAUCACCUCUCCCCCUCCCUCUCAACUCCCUCUCCCCCUCUGAACCCCUCCUCCCCCUCAGGACCCCAAGGUGGUCAUCUCCGCACUCAUGAAGCUGGCGGGCGGCUCGCCCUCCUUCGCCUCCGAGCUCAACGUGGACGCGUGAGUGGGUUUGUGGUUUGGGUGGUUGUUGUUGUGGGCUCUUGACGUGAGGAAGUGAGAGGAAGUCUUAAGGUGGGCCAAGGUGGUUCCGGGCGUGAUGAUCUUUGCGGUGGGCGAAGGUGCGUGAUGGCGACUUGGCGUGGACAGGGGCACGAACAGGGUGGCGCAAACACACCACGGCUGUCUCGCGGGCCGCCCUCCUUCCUUGCCUGCUUUUUGAACGUUGUCCUUCUUCGCGUUCCCCUCCUCGCUGCCUUCCGCAGCUUCCUGCAGCAGAGCCGCUCCUAUGAGGAGGCCACCAACAGCCUGCUGGGCUGGUACCUGCGCAACGCCCAGACCGCGGCGCUCAGGUGCGGGCGUGUGUGUGUGUGUGUGUGUGUGUGUGUGUGUGUGUGUGUGUGUGUGUGUGUGUGUGUGUGUAUGUGUGUGUGUGUGUGUGUGUGUAUGUGUGUGUGUGUGUGUGUGUGUGUGUAUGUGUGUGCAAAUACCAGUCCUAACUAAACCAAACCAAGCUUGAAGGGGACGAGGCAAAGUGGGGCGUUGGAAUGGGGGCUUGCAUAGUGGGGUCGGAGGCUUGCACGCGAGUAAUAUUGGCGUGGUGCCGGCAAACAGGCCUGUCUGGGCAGCUGGCGGCGCCCACCGUGCUCCCGGACUCCCUGUACGGGCUUUCUUGCCGACCCUAGCCUUGCCCUCCCCCUGACUGCCUGCGGCUGCAGCUUCUCCUUUCCUUCCGGCAGUGGUUCACCGUUAACCCCUGACUCCCCUGCCUGCCCCUCCUCCCGUUGCAGCCACCCGCUACCGGUGAUGCGCGCCCGCGAGAUCGACCGCUGGAGCCAGAGCACGCAGUACAAGGGCCUGGUCAGCAAGAACCGCAACCACCGAGUCCAGGUCAUGACCUCGCCGCAGCAGCCGGGGCAGGGCGGUGCCGGCGCCGGCGGCAUGGGCUCUGCCAGCGGCAGCGGCAUCGCGGGCGCUGGGUCAGGGACCGGAGGCGGCGGCGUGAACGGCGUGGGUGGCAUGGGCAGCGGCAUGAGCGUGGCUGGCGUGGGCGGGCAGGUCUACAACAUGGUCCGCUCGCCCGCGCCGCUGCACGCCAGCAGCCCAACCGGCGCCACCGGGGGGCCCGUCGGCGGCAGCGGGAGUGCCGGCGGCGGCGGCCGGGGCGGCUCCGCCGCCGCUGCGGCCAUGCCUGGUGGCCGCACCGCCGCCGCGGCGGCGGCGGCCGCCGGGCCUGCGCCGAUGGGCCCCACGGCGGGUGGUGGUGGCGCUGCGCGCCCGCCGCCCAUGAUGACCCCCGCGGGCCUGUGGGGAACGUCGCUGGGUGGCGCCAAGCCGCGGCGGUGAGGCCGCAAGGCGGUGGGGCUAGGAGCAGCUGCAGUUGCGUUUGUUCAUGCCGCUGACGUGUGACAGAUGUGGCGUUUAACGUGCUGCUCGCUAGCUUGCAGCUUUGCGGUGUCGCAUGCAGGCGAUCUAGGCAUGCAAUUGCUCGAGGUGUGGAAAUGGCUUCAUUACCAGUUUGCCAGUUUACCGCACGGCUACCAAACAGUUUUGUCUUACAGUUCGUGUGACCAUGACAGUUGACACGUAUCCAUACUCGCAUCCCAGCAACCGCACUUGACACCGGCAUGUGCAUCGCCGUGCGCAAUCAACAUCAGCGUAUGUUGAUCGGCAAAACAAACGGGGCCAGCUGCAAAUGAGUUUCACGCUAUGUGGCGUGGGUGACAUGCGUCGGUGACGUUCGUCUGUGUAUUCCCGAGAUUGCAUGUGUGCGCCUGGGGCGAACUGUCGGAACACUGUGACGGUGUGCAUCUUAGGAGCCGCACGUCUCUGUGUACGUGUACGGCGCUGGCAGCAGGUGCGCUGAUGGCGGUGAUGGAGCAGUUGGUGUGUCCAUGAGCGUAUUGGCAAGGGAAACUGUGUGUGCGUGUUACUAUUCUCCUAUAUGCCCCGCAAGUGAUGGGGCUGAUGGCAACGGGUCAAGUGAGUUCAAGGGGCGGUUGCUCUAGGGGAAGCCGCACGGCAGGCGGCUGCUGUACGGGCGGCGAGAUGGGCGCAUGGGGACGAGGAAGGUAGGCCCCGGCGGCGGUGCACGGUUGUGUUGUUGAGCUCCGUGGCAUGCCGUCAGUUGCUAUUGGUGUUGUUGUGUGUUCGUAUGUGUGUCCGCACCAUUGCGUGUGUGUCGUAUCAGCUGCAGGUGAGCAUUGCGGUGAAAGGGAAAGUGGCAUUAUGAAGCCAAGGACGGGCCUCCAUUGCCCGACUGGUGACUGCUUACGCUUUUCGCUACGUGUUGGUAUUUUGUGUCGUAGCGCUGGAGGGCUUACGUGGGUGCAAGAAGUGCAAGACGUGCAACAUAGCUGUGGGUUUAACUAAGCAGUUUGCGUGGGUUUUUGUACCAUAACACUGCAAGCGGCGGCUUUGGCUCAUCUCCACAAUAGAGCCAAAUGAACCGCUUACUGCGCAGCGCUAGGGGGGCCACACGCCACACGGCUACAAACGAGGACCUUUCGUUCAGCCGUGGUCAGGCACAGAGAUAUGCAGGCGCUGUGAUGGAGGUUGUGGGUGCGCGGUUCGAUGGCUCUUUGUAUGAUACGGUGGAACGUGUGUAGGUCAUCAAGGGCCGGGGAAUGGUGCAGGCGGAGGAGGCGCCACGUUGGCCGAAAGCGUUAAGGCGCUGAGGCCUGGGGUUCCAUGAAUCACUGGGAGACGGUGUGAGAGACUAAGGAAGUACUUAUGUUGGUGAAUGUGGCUGGGCUGUUCCUGGCUGCCGUGCUUGUGUUGGUCGGCCCUGGAUGCGGCGCUGUGGCAGCAGGCCUUGGAGUUUGAUGGGGCCCGGCGCGAGGCGCAGCGGUGACAGCAUCUGCAGGGGCCAUAACAUGCGCUCCCCCUAGCAUGUAAGGAGGUCUCUUUGAGUACUUCUGGCUUCCUGGCUCCUCCUGGGCCAGGGGCUCAUCACGGGAUGCCACGAAUCCUGGAUGUGCAAGCCGUGGUUCACAGGUUCCGAAGUAAUCACGUUGUUAGUCUGUUACUGAUAAUUUAUUUAUGUUGUUGUUGCAUUGUCCACUGAUUAACGCGCGGUAACACAGUGACCCUCUCAAGCAAGUUGAAUCGCCUAUGUCUGAUAGGAGUAAACAGGAUUCUGCUAAUCGUUAUGAAAUUCAUGCACACGCCGAAGCUGGCACGUCAGCUGACGCGCGCAAAGACAGCUCGGCGGUCGAUGUUGUUGGCACGCUCAACGUGAUCGCCCGAAAGCAGGGCUCGCAUGGAGCAUCCCUACGCUAUUUCGGCGGCUGUCUUGUGCUCGGUGGACUAAUUGCGUUGCUAUUUUUCGCCCCGGCGCUUUGUCCCCUUGCUUUCCUCGGGUUUGUGGUGACGUGCCUGCCAUACCGGGUGCACAGCUUCACCAAGCGCAAGUGGGUUUUCUUCCUCGUGGACUACUGCUAUGUGAGUUGCUCACGGGGCGGACAUGAUGAGCCGCAAGGGCGGGUACCGGUCUUGCUGAGCCUGUGGGGGCCUCUUGAUGGGGUCAAGGUCCUCUUCCCCACUUUCCUUGUAAGUCCACAACUUUCGUUUGGGUCCCUUCAUCAUAAACCGCAGUUCGCAAACCUCGCCGCCGCGGCGUUUCUGGUGUGGGCGCCCGCACAUGCCGGCUGGGAGGCUGCGGCGUACGCCAGUGUCGAGGGCCCGCUGGCAGGGGCGCUGGUGGCGUGGCAGUGCGCUUGGGUGAUGGGCUCGCCCGACCACAUCAUCACGUGAGCAGCCGUGCACGGCACUGCAAUGCUCGUGUGUUGUGUAGCUGUCGCCGGGGAUUCGGGGGCGUCAGGGGGCUACUCACGUGGGGUUCUCAGGACAGGCUGGGGCAGGCAUCGGGGGCUCUCCACUAGUACCGUGUUGCUGGCGUGGCUACCGGGUGGCCUGCUAGCCUCCGGCAUUGCGCCACAUCGCAGCCGUCUGCCCCUCAUCACCAACAUUACAGUUGACUGCGACCGCCGUGCCAACGCCGUACCAACGCCCAACUGCCACCCGCAGGGUGCUGAUGCACAGCCUGCCCGGCCUUGCGUUGUUCUGCCACCGCCGCCUGGCACACACCCGGCAGCCGCUGCAGCUGGCAGCGGAGCUGGCGGCGGCGCUCUGGCGGCCGGAGGCGGCGGCGCCACCGGUGCCGGGGCAGGCGGCGGCGGUGGCCACGUCAGCAGCAGCAGCAGCAGCAGCUUGGGGCCGGGGCGGUGGGAGUACGGUGGAGGCGGCGCCAGCCGGGUUCGGUGCUACAGCUUGGGAGGCGGCUGGGUCGCGUGCUACUGCUGCCGGCGCUGGGCUCUUGCGUCGCUUGGUGGCAGCGGCGGAUGUGGCCCGGGGACGUGUGCCGUGCGGCGCUGCAGCAGCAGCAGCAGCAGCAGCAACAGACGGGGCGGCGGGACCGGCAGCAGGGUUAAUGGCGUGCUACGCCAUGCCGCUGCCGCCGACCGCCUGCCCCGCGCCGGCGUGGCUGUGGCUGGCGGCGGCGCCGAUGCUGUUCUACUUGGCCUGGCAGCUGCUGUACUUCGUGGUAGUGCAGGUGGGGCGGCAAGCGGAGGCGGCGGGCGUGUGGGCCGGCGGGGUGGGUGGCAGGCGGCGAGGGCCGGGGUCGCGGCUUGGGAGGGGACGGCGGGCGGGGAGCGGUGAUUGCCAAUGUAGACCGGAGGCGUGGGGCGUGCCGUGGAUGUGUGCGUGGGGCGUUGGUGUGAUGCAUGUGAUGGCGCGGGGCGUGAGGGAUGGGACUUGAGGCAAGAGACGAGGGGCGUGGGCGUGGCGCUCAACCCUCCCGACAUGCCUCAUGGCCCGUACAGCGUGCAAUACACGUCGUCACGUACGUGCAUGCCGUACAGGUGUGCAGCCGUCGGCUCAUCCUGGCGCGCGGGUACGACACCAGCUACCGCUCUCUGGCGCGGCGGGCGCAGCGCUCGGGCUCUGCGCUGAACAGGCUGGUGCGGAGCGGCGGCGUGGCGCGGCGGCUGCUCAUGUUCGGUGAGUGAGCGUGAGAGGGAUGUUUGCUUGGUGGGGGGAGAGACCUCGUGGGGCGCGUGUGUGGAAGGGGUAGUUCAUUCAAACUCAAAAUGAACCAUUGCCCAGAACUCAAAGAACGGGAAAGAAGGGGUAUGGGCGUGCAUGGGUUUGCAAGCUCUUGAGUCCUUACUCCCGAUCGAAUACAAAGCCGGUGGAUUGGACGGCCCCUGCUGCUGAUGUUCUCGGGUGCGGUUUCAAGAGGGCCACACGCGACAUACCCGCAAAAGGCGCGCGGCCCGCUUGCGUCGUGCGCCUGCACCCUGGCCCCUUCCCUUCAAUUUCGUUUGACCCUCUCUCUGACCGGCGUCAUAACCUUGCCCUCGCCCAACCGUCAUGCCUGGAAUCCCCCUGGCCGCAGGGCUGCUGCAACUGCUGUUUACGCUGGUGACGCUGGCGCUGGCGGUUGCGACGUACCACAGCGUUGAGGCGGCGGUGGCGUGGCAGGUGGGGGCGUCUGGGGGUGGGCGGGUGGGAGUGCUGUGGCGUGGGAGUCUGAGGAGCGCGAUCAGUGGCAGUGGCAGUAUCGAAGCAGCGCGUACUGCAAUGGUGCAGUCUCUGGACGAGGAGGGAUGGGCUGGGCCCAAGCCUCAGCUCCAUGUGUGCUGCACCAUGCGAAUUCCUUGCCUCACACGCCAUGUUCCCCGCCAACCCGCCGCACAGGUCGUCAAGCUCCUGCUCCCCCUGUACCUGGGCGCAGUGCACACCUGCGAGCGGGCGCCCGUCCAGGAGCUGCGGGCGGCGGCGGCGCAGAUGGCGGCGGCGGGGCUGCUGGCGGCGCCAGCUGCGGAGGCGCUUAGGGCGGAGGCGCUCAGAGCGGAGGCGGCCGGGAAGCACAGAGUGGAGGGCAAGGCCCGGGGUAAGGUUGAGUAGGGUUAGGGUAGGUGAUGGGCGUUCCAGAUUGGAGGCCGCAGUCUCACUACCGCCACCCCUGGGUGUUUGGCGCCCCUGUACGGUAUGUCUAUAUAUGGAUUAUAUGUGGCCCUCUCUGGUGCAAGCAUGCACCAAAACGAAAGUAAGCCGUCCAGGGCAGGCGUGCUGACUUUGUUUGCCUUGCUGUGUGGCGUAGCGUUCCACCAAGCCGGUGCCAGGCAGCGUGCGCGUGUUCAAAGUCGGCAUAGGGUCGCUCGAUCUGUUCUGGGGAAAUGAUGGGGAAGUGAUUGGGGAAAUGGACGCCAGGGCUGGUGCCGUGCCGGUUGGAUGCUGCUGCAGCUGCUGCACCGUGUGUGUGCAUGCCUGCCGCUUAAUGCACGUGGGCUGCAAGUCUACCCGGAAUUAGAUGGGUACACAGUUACAUCCUGAGCAUGCACUCAACAUGGCAAGGGUUGCGGGGGGGGAGCACAGGGGUGGUAGCCAUGCGUGCGGUGCCGGGGUGGGUGGUAAAGUAGGGCGAGUGGGCGAAUGGGGUGUCCGGGAGGUAGGGGUGGCGAACGGGUACGUGUGGAACUGCCGCCAGCCAGGCCUGUGGCCCUUUGUAUGAUCGAUCCCCCUGCAAUCACCUACCACCGUGUGCACGUGCGCAAUGUUGGGCUGGUUGCGCAAGAGCGAACCCCGGGUCUGUCCAUCCGCGUGGAUGCAUGACGCGACACGACGCGAUCUGUGCGCCAGUGCCCGUAUCAUGUGGAUGGCUUUAGGCCCCCGUGUCUACACAGCGUAGAUGACCCCUCCCACGCCAUCUACGCCCGGAAACAUUUCCUAGGGGCACGCCCCUAAAAUCCCCAAACCAUCUACGCUCCUUGUCUAAAAUACCGCCAAGUCCGCCCAAAACGUCUACGCUCCGUAGAUGCGUUGCCCUAAACCCCAAACAAUUUCUCCAGGCACAGCGUAGAUGGAACAUACGAGCACUGUUUAACACACACACACACGCAAGCGGCGAGCCGGCGACCUGGCGGACUGGGCGCGACGACGAGCUCAACACGUUCGCGGCCACGGCUUGGGCCACGGUAUGUUUCUCUGAAGCCCGCGUCACAGGCGCGGGACCCCAUACAUCCGGAGCACGCGAUGUAUGCAUGCGCGAUGUACCCAUCGGUACCGUAUCGGUCACCUUCUGCGACAACCUGAUGGCUCUGGCGGACGGCGGACCUGGUCAUGGAGUACGGCCCGGUCGCCGAGGCAUACAGCGCGGCACUACCCUGCACCUACCCGGCCCGUGGACUGGUGGGUCGGCGGGCCGUCGUGUGUGAUCCUGGCGCGGACCAGUCGCCAGCUGCUGGGACAUGCCCCGUGUCCUCCCGCAGCUGGCGCUGCCGGGGCGGUCGGGGCCGCUGCUGGGCUAUCGACGUCCAUGGGUUCAUUGUGAGCAGCGGCCGGGUUGAUAAUUCAAUGGGCAUUCUUAUUCCUGUGUUGUUCAGGAGCUUACUUGCUCAUGGCGUUGGGUUCGGGGUUGGCAGCAUUAGCCGUGCGUGAGGCGGGAUGUGAGUGCGGCUGUGCGGGUGGUAGCCCACGGCGCUGUUGGCAUGGGUCGGCAGCAUGUGCAAGGGAUGGUGGGUCUUGGGGGUGUGGGUAGCAGAUGCGCAUAUGUAUUGUCAUGUCUUUGGCGAGCGCCUGGACCAUUGAGCGUGCCGUUUCGUAUCCCCGCGUGCCCACCGGCAGGCUCUCAUCGCCAUUGGUGAGCCGCUGGGCAGCAUGGUCAAUGGCUGCGUGGUCCCGGGUGAGUAGGUCCUCAGGGGUAGUGCGCGUGCUGGUUUCUGCAAUGCGUGCGCGUUGCGCUGCAUGUUUUGUAACGCGCCGUGCGCGUGUAUCUGGUUUUGUCGUGGCCGGCGUGUUUUGGCCGGCUUGCGGGCUGUGGCGCUUGCGGGCUGUGGCUGGGGGCCGUCGGGAGGGCUGCGUUGCCCCAUCGGCGGGGACUUCCGGUGCCGCAGCAGGGCCUUGUGCGCCGGGUUGGGCCUCCUGGGCUUCCCCUACUGGGGAGGGGGGGGGGGGCGGUUCGGCUGGGGCUUGCGUAGUGUUUGCUUGGGCGGGGGCCGCCUCGGGGAGGGGCUGGAGGAACCGCUCGAGGGGGUUGGCCAUUCCAAGAGGGAGGGGGUCCGCCCUCAUGGCUACGGCCACGAUUGCGGCCACGUCAGGCAGAGUGCGCUGUGCGGUGGUUAGGGGGGGGGCAUGGCUGCCGAUGGCUGGAGCGUUUUCCCCUGCACGUCCAGCCAUACUGAGAGCAAGGCUAUCAGGAGCCAUGGGCGCCGAGGUAAACGUGGCGGCAUCAUUGAAGGACAAUCUUCGGGGGGGGGGGGUGCCGUCGAGUGGGCUCCUCGUCCGUGGGACAUGCUUUGCACGCAUGGUGCUGUCGUCGUGCUCAUCAGACGCAUGAGCUGUAAUGCGCAGUCUGUCCCCUAACCACGCAGUGUAGGGGGAGGCUGGCUAGGGGUCGCUGCAUCUUUGUAAGGGGCCGGGGCAUGUCACGUUCGGGCGCGGCACAUUCGUCACUGAUGGCCGGGAAGGGCGAGGUAUGGCGCAGUCUUGUUAUUGGCCUGCGGUUAUCGGCCACAAGCUGCACAUGCCCGCGCUUCGGUGCGCAUUGGGCGCGGCUGGUUUAGGGUGACCCGCCGAAGGAACCGACGAAGGGCGCUGACACGGCAGCUGGCGGGAUGUACUCCGCCGCCGCUGCGGUGUCGUCCACGCCCUGCUUGUGCCUCAUUUACGUGCGCGUGUUCUACGGGGGCUGUGCUGUAACGAGUUACGAUUGCCUCAUAUGGGGCGAUCUGGUGGUGGGGGGGCUCGUCAUUUUAUCGAGGCAGGGCAUUAACCGGGGCUGCUAUAGUUUGAGCACCUGCCGGUGCAUUGCCGCCACUUCAUACGGUUCGAACAACGGCCAAACCGCCCCACGCACACCAGCUUGCAACAGCGCUGUUGCGUUUCGACCUGCUUUCGACCCGCGCCCGCUCCAGCUGCCGCCUUUGCUGCUGCAUCCUGCUGGAGCUCUGCUGUGCGUCUGCUCGAGAUGCAGCAGCCCAGCCGGUGAGACGGGCGCUUGAGCGUUUGCGGGGGGUGGCGCUUUGUUUCGGCGGCAGCUUCCCGGGACAGUUGCGACUCCUGGCGCGUUUGCUGCUGCACGGUGGUUGUGCUGCUGCUUGUGAUGGCUGGCCCUACUUGUGUAAGAGCGGUGCUGCGUCGGGGCGCUGACUCGACUUCGCACUUUUCCCGCCCCUUUCCUGCUGCGAGGACCGGCAGGCGUUGACCUUGGGCCGGCUGAGGUCAAGAUGACCUCCGCCGACGCGUACCACAUGCUAGCGUUGAUGAGCGUGCUGGCGGCCACCGGAAAAGCCGCGGCCAAAAUCCAUGAGGUCAUUAAGACCGUCGGCAAUGAGCUAGGCACUUGCAUUGGGGUGUGUGUGUGUGCGGGGGAGGGGGGGGGCAAGGGGGGGUGCGGUCACAGGGUGCGUGGGGUUGCAAAGAACCUAAAGAGAGGCAGCUUCGCCGACUCAGAUCACCAAAAUGCCUCUCUGCAGCUUCCCUGCACCCUCACCCACCCUGUGACCCACUGCCUUCGCACCCCCCCUAACCCACCCACCCACCCACCCGCCACUGAUGCCAGUGCCUAGCUCCUUGCCGACGGUCUUGAUGAUCUCAUGGAUUUUGGCCGCGGCUUUUCCGGCGGCCGCCAGCACGCUCAUCAACGCAAUCAUGUGGUACGCGUCGGCGGAGGUCAUCUUGACCUCAGCCGGCCCAAGGUCAACGCCCGGUGCCAGCAUGGUACCGGCACCUGCAUGACGCCGCCAAACAGAUUGCGCUGCAGUGCGACGGCAUGUUGGGGAGUUGGGGAGGCGGCGUCGUGGGGAGUUGGGACUGGGGAGCACCGUGGCUAAUAGCGGGGCUCAAGGGCUGGAGCAAGGGGGCGCAUCAUCAAGUGCAUUUUCUUGUAAUUGGGAUGCCCCCCCCCCCUGCUCGAGCUCAAUGCGACCGCAAGGGCUUCUGCCCCUCCUCCUUCGGUAGAAGGAGCAAGCCAACGCGCCAGGAGUCACAACUGUGGGAAGCUGCCACCAAAAGUGCCACCCCCGCAAACUCUCAAGCGCCCAUCUCAUCUGUGCAUGCUGGCAGCCGCCGGUGGCAACAAUCCAGGAAUUCAUCAAGACUGCAGCAAGGAGCUAGCACUGGCGUGAGUUGGGCGGGAGGGUUGGGUUAGGGGGUGGAUGCGGAGCCGGUGGGUCACAGGUGGGCGGUGGGCGGGUGGGGGUGCAGGGAAGCUGAAGAGAGGCAUUUGGUGAUGUGGAUCGUCGACCUGGAAGCUGUGUGGGUGCAGUGGGUGGGGCUGUAUCCAGAGGCUGCGUGCUGCAGGCAGCCUACACAUCCCCCAGCCUGCACAUCCCCCAGAUGCAUCCCCCAUAUGCAUCGCUUUACAGACACCUGCGCGCCGGCCCAGCACGCGUGUACCCUCCCUGUUGCUGCGCCCCUCAGGGUCAAGGGGUGGUCUUCACCGUGGUGGCGCGGCGCCUGGAGGGCCGGUCUUCCGUCAUGGUGGUGCCGCCUCCGAACUCGCGGCCGCCGGCUGCUAAGAAUAAGGCAACGGCAACAAUGGAGCGGCUGCUGAAUAAUGAUGACAUAUCGUGGCAGCCCAACUCAAGUACUCCUUCGUGGAUUUCCGUGACCUGCACUACGGCAUCAUCGGGAUGCUCCUGGUGCGUGCGUGCCUGCAUGCGCGUUUCGUGCGUGUGUGGGUGUGUUGUAUGUAUGCGUACUUGCUUGCGUGCGCGUGCGCAUGCGCUUGUGCGUGUGCGUGUGCGUGUGCGUGCGCGUGCGCGUGCGCGUGCGCUUGUGCUUGUGCGUGUGCGUGUGCGCGCGUGUGUGCUUUGACUGUUAAGGAGGCGGCUCCAGAAUGCCGACAUCGAGGUUCAUUGUCAGGGGCGCCAGAACCAGCAGAAGCUCCUCAAGCAUCCGUAUGCCAGCGCACGUGCAUGUGCGUGCCUGCUGCUCCAAAGUGCCAUUGCUUUGCUGUCGGUGCAGGCACUCCUCAGAGAGGAAUCCCCCGUGCUGCCCCCUGAAUCCCCCGCCCUUACCACAGGACCUCGUCCUGCGCAAUGUCCUGCUGCACGCAACUUGUGCGCACGGGAUCAUUAUUACCGUAAGUGGCUGCUGUGACCUGCACAUGUGCAAUAUGUUUGUUGCAAGUAUGCGUCUGCAUGCAUGCAGGUUCACCUGCUUCCAGUAUAUGUAGCUCAGCCUAUCCAACCCCCUCCCUCGGGCCCGCGACGUGCCGUUGUACAUUCUAUUCAAGACAGCCCUUGGGCACAACUGACUGCACAUGCAUUUGUCUCCACGCAGGACGGCCGCACGCCGCUGCCGCUGCUGCCAUCCAGUGGCUAUGUGUGCACCCAGCAGGGCGUUUAAAAUGGUGGAUGACAACCGCGCGCACGGAUGGGGGACGUGCCAAGCUCGCCGCGAUCGCCGUCGGUCUGCGCGACUUCAUGGCGGAACGGGUCAAGGACUCCACCACUCAAUCGCUGCAAACGGAGCUGGACAUGGGCACAUGGCGGUGGCCGACCUGCUGCGAGGAUGCUGGUCGUGAGCGCCGCCGUUCGGUAGGUCGGGCUUGCGUGGCAGCUAUGCCUCGCUCCUAGUGUGGCUAGCGGUGGUGUUGCGUUACGACGGGUCUCCGAUGGUCUCCAAUGGCCCGGGAGGAAGGUGUGCAGUGCGUAUGUUCUGUGUUCCUCUGCCGGCUGAUACCGUACCGUGCUCCCCACCCCUGCACUGAACGCGCUAUGCCCGACGCUCUGCGUACUCCACGUCCAUCCCAUUGCAGGGCCAGGCGGCGGCUGGCGCUGCGACGAGUGAAGGCGGCGGCGGGUGGUGCGUGGCGGCGGGGCCGGGGGCCACAGGGAGGCAUGCGCCGUGCUGCGUGGGGAGCGGCUGUGGUUCGUGUGUUGGGUAUGUUGGGUGUUUGAGGUUGCGCGACACGGGGGCGCCUGUGGUGACAUGGUGAUGUACUUGCGGCAGUGGAUCAGACCUUGAGUGCACGUGCGCCGGUGCGGUAUGGUGGAGCUGAACACCUGGGUGCAUGUGCGUAUGGCACAUACAGUAGGCGCCGUGCGUCCCUGGCGCUGGCUCUUUGCGCUUAGGAGUUAGGGUGUGAGUGGGGAUCAGACGCACGGAUUGCCGUGUUGCAGAAGCUCUGUGAUGUACGGUAAUGGAUGGAUGAUGAUUUGGCACCACGGCGUUUUUGAGUGCACUCCGUGGUGUGACGGUGUCGCGGAGAAGCGUCGGUAGAUGAUGAGCUGCAAGGAUGGUGAUGAGCCCUGGACGAUGACGGCGUCCCACCCUGUGCAAGUGCGACGGGCGACGCUGAAGGUUGCGCGUUCUGGUGCGCGGCACGGCUGGUUCUCCGGCUCUCGCCCGGUCCAGACUGCUAGCUGUUACGUUUUGGUACACCUAGUACACCCUGGAUACACCUCGCCUACCCGCCGGGGAGGGCCUCGUGAUUCCGGACUGCGCAACCAUGGCGUAAAGCGCGGCCAGCGCGACCCUGCUCCGGCCAGACUGACACGAAACACGUCGAAAUUCCUGGCACGCCAUAGAGACAGCACCCAGCUUCUGAGCUUCCGCAACCAAACGCCCAUCCGGCUGUGGCGUCUUUGCACGCGCACUGCUGUUGCCCUUUCGCCCACCUGUCGUACUUGCGCAUCCUCCCCGCCUGCUUGCUUGCCUGCCGCCUUGCUGCUUGCUCACUUGUCGCCCGGCCCUUUGCAUUGACGCGAGCUGUCCGCACAUCAGCUCUGCUCCUCGACGUCCGCGGCUCACCCGUGGACGUGGCUGGACUGCAUCGCGUUGCUUCCUCGUCCCGCACAAGCGUUGGUGGCAGCAGUGGUGGUGGUGGUGGCGGUGGCGGCUGUAUCAAUGGCUGUACCCGGCCGUGUACGGCGCUGUCGAUCUUGAGCUGCUGCGCCUGGGCGACUGUGGCGGCCGCGCGCGUUUGGAUGCCGUGCGGGACAUGGGAUGGGUGCGGGCGGCGGCACCUCCUGUCUUUCCGCAAGACGGCAGUGCUUCCGCGGUAACUCAGAUGGGACCCGCAACUUCUUUGCUUGUCUGCUAUGGCUUUGGACGAUAUGCCGGUGGCGCGGAUGUGCACACAAAGGUGGAAGGUCAGGCCGUUGCCGCCGCCGCCGGCACUUUUGCCCCGCUGUCGCCAGUGUAGUUGGAAAACUGUAACAACGGUAGCACUGUGGAUUGCGGUUUGUUGCAGCCAAUGCAUGUUGGGCCUCCCCCGUGCAUGCGUGCCACCAGGAGACGUGCUGGGCGGGAGGCCCCGGUCCGAUUCUGGUGAACGGGUGACAAGAAAAGGUGGCUCUCCCUUGCAAGGGAAAAGUGGGCUGAGCCCACGCCACGUCCUCCGUCUGAGGCCGAAGGCUCCGAUACGAGCCUCAUCUCCCGGACAUAGCCGGGGUCGGUUUGUACAGGCACCGCCCGCCAUAUGUGUCCAGUCGCGCCCAGCUAUCAAGCACUAGUGCAGCAGGCAGCAGGCCAACCAAGGAAAACACCCCUGCCGCUGCAGCCGACUGCCCGCUACGCCAUGCUCGUCAGCACAGGUCGCUAACCAGACAACACCGGCAGGUCUCAACCUGCGCGCCUGCGCCGCUUUGAAGGCGGCGCCGCGCUGUCCUCCUCCACGUGGCCUUGCCCGCCCCCUCUGCUCCGAACAUGCGCGCCGCCACUGCCGCUGGGCCCAGGGCCGCCCGUGCCGCCGCCACCACCGGGCCCAACGCCGCCGUGGCCGCUGCUGUUGCCGCCGGUAGGCGCGGUGCCACCGCCGCCGCCACCGCCGUCUCCAGGCCCUGCACCGCCGCCACCGCCGCCGCCAGGCCCUGCACCGCCACCGCCGCCAGCAGGUCGCAGGGCUGCAGGCCGCGGUUUGCCAAGCAGCAUCUCCAUCAGCGCGUGCCGCAUGUUUGUAGCCGAGUUGGCGUCACGGCCCUGCAGUUCAACAUGCAAACAGGGCGUGUGUCAUCCCGUGUGUCACCCCGUGUCAUCUCCAAACCGCCCUGUGUCAUCCCGUGUCAUCCCGUGUCAUCAUCUCCAAACCGACCUGCCGCCCCAAACCUGCCAACCCACUUACCCACACAGUCCCGCAGUGUUGGCACACUUGGACGUCGCCGGCACGCGAGCCACCAAACGGAAUGAACGGGUGAAAAAAACAACCAAAACAAGGAACAGCGUGUCGUGCCGUGCGGAAUGCAGGGUCUGCAUUGGCUACUGCCAUACCGUUGCUCCAACGUCACAGCCGCCGCAUGUUGUGCUCCGGUACGGUACCUCCUGCCCCGCCUGUCAUUCCAUGCCGUCACGCCGUGGCCACGGCUUUCAACACAGCGCCCCAACCUCACGUGCAGCACGUCACCGGCAUUACCGCUCCUGCACGCACAACGCCGUCGCUGACGCCGGGGGCCUUGCCCCGUUCUUGGUGGCAGUGUGUGUGGUGGUGGUGAUGGUGAUGAGGGUGUGGCGCACCCUGCUACAGUUAAAUGCGCGUACCGUAGCUUGCGGCAGCAUCCAGCCGUCGCUGCCGCCAGGGGUCAUGCCACGUUGCGACGUUGUGGUCUGGUCUUGGUGGUGCUGGUGAUGGCAGUGAUGGCGUUAAUGAUGGGGUGUGUGGCGUGCCAAUGCGGCAAAGAAGCAGAAACGUGCGUGGGCUGCCGAUAGUGCCGAAUGCGCGGAGAUGGGCCACGGCCAGCGCCACUGGUGGGCAGCAAGUGCGGGCUUAGACGGAUGAAGGGGAAGACACGAGGGCGGGCAGGGGAAGCAAUGAUCGAUUGCCUUUGUCUUGCCUUUCAGUCUUAGCCACUUUGAACCUCGUUCUACAGCACUAUGUCGGCCUGUUGCCCAAUGCCUCACGCCCGCAUCCGAUGCUUUGGGCGCGCCAACAGGCACGGGUGAACCUGUCGGCGUGAACCUGUCGGCGUCUUGCACCCUCCGCACCUAGCCCUCUUCCGCCGCCCUAGAGCCGCAAUCCCAAGCGUCUCUCCCCGCCCGCUGCUGCGGUGCUGCGCAGCCCUUGGCGCGCCCUGGCCUGGCCCGCUGCCGUGGCGCCCUCCGCUGCCCCCGUGCCUUGGCACCCUCACCUGGUCCACAUCGCAACAGCCCCGGCUCCACGUGGACGAGCGGGGCCAGGACCGGACGAGCCGCCAAGCAGCAGUGCCAAUGUCACCGGGGCCUGUGUCCAUGCAGUCCCAGGUUGCAGCUGAUGUAGCUGCUGUCAGGCCUACUCGGGCAUGCGCCGCGCACGCACGGUCCUCACGGCGCGGAGAACACGGAGAACACGGCUGCACAGGAGAACCUACCAAGAGUUGCAGUCCUCAGGCAAUCCUCAGGUACCAAAACCAAGCCCGAACCUGCAAUCACUUGGGCCUGAUGCUCCCGGUUGCAGCUGAUCCAGCUGAGGCUUGCGGGGCGUGCACAACGCAUCGCCGCCAACCUGUGGUGGCAUACAGAGGCGGGAGGCCCUCAGACCCGACCAGGCUCUGCCGUGCUCUCUGGCUUAUGAGUGCUUGCAAUUUGUUCUUAGCGGGAAAGGGAUACGCGCUAGCUGCCUCCUCCAGGGUUUGCCAAAAGUUUGCGCGUGUGAAAAGCAAGACGCCUGUAACGCGUAAUCCUAUUCGUUGGAGCAAAUGGAUCUUAUACAUAAAGAAGUUGCAGGUGUGAAUCGCAGGCCGAGGGGCUUCAUACUAAUGCCGACCGGGGCCCCAUCAUGCAAGUUGUACACCUGGAUGCCCUUUUGCCCAGUCCCGCACAAUUCUAAGGUGUUUCUCGCUCUGAGCUUUUACCUUAGUACUUUAGGGGGGCCUUCCGACUUGGGCACGUGCUAACUAACAUAGGAGCAUCCCUUGACUUGUUGAUCAUUAUGGGAGGACCUGAUUUUGACGUAGUUCGUGUCACGCAGUGGCGGUGCUCCUGUCCGCGUGGCGUAAUGGCGUUGCGGGCUUGCGGAGUUGCGGGCUUGCGGCCGUGGCCGUGGUCCUGGCGUGGAUUCCACUGGAUUCCACUGGAUCGAGACCCGGUGCAAGGCGUGCAUUCUUUUCUAUUUUGAAUUAUCGCGUCGUGUGUGUAUGUGUGUGUCAGGGCAUGUGAACACACCCCGACUGUGAACACACAAGCAGCUAGCUGUUCACGCGGUCGAGAUGCCUCCAGGCGCCGUGUCAAUUGCUGGCGCUACAUGCAAGUGCUGUUUACUUAGGACAUGUUUAUUCCCAGCAACCCAACACAGGGCAUGCCCCGCCAAUUUAUUAGCGUACGACGGGGGAUGAGCCCCGCGUCUCAAAAUUGUAAAGCCAACUUGGCUCAGACUGCUUAUAGCAUACUUUUAUCCGCGUUAGCUGCCUUCGCGCCCACGCCGAGUACAGUCCCGCAGCGAGAGAUGUGCCUGCAGCCUUAUUUGCAACAUAUUGCCCCGCAAACUGUCUACAGUACUCGCUCGCUACGUUCAAUACCGCGUAGGCCAUAAUAGCGCCAAAGCGAGCCUGCGGGCCGCAAACUCUGAGCCGACUCUGCGCCGAUUCUACCGAACCAGCUGAGCUGAGCCUCGGAUAGCCUGAUGGGUGACCUGGACCGCAACUACCGCUAUAGUUAUGAUGAAACCGAUGUCAGCAUGUUGGGGGAGGAGGGCAACGCGAGCGAUGCGAUGAGCUGGGAUGGGCCCGAUGGCGCUGCGGGAGCUGGCCACGGUGAUGCCGACAGCGUCGUGCUUAGGGGUGACGCCGAAGCAGAUGUUACGGAUGGCUACGCCGAUCUGCGCGUGGAUUCCUGCCACGAGGAGGCAGCGGACCCAGACUCGUCCGCUGUGCUUGCGGUGCGCAAUUCAAAACGUGACCUGCGUGUGCAGCAAGCAAUUGUGUACUGUAAAUUUAGCGAGGUGGCUGGGUGCGGGCACGACGGGCGUUGGGGUAAACAACUUGCCGCUGCAUAUGUGGUGCUUGUGCCUGGGAGUCGUACAUCAAUAUGCCCACACUGCAAACCGCCGUGCCGACGCAGGAAGUCCCGAAAGUUGACUGCCAGUGCACAAUUUUGACAGCAGCAGCGCCAGGCACCCGCGUCACCCGUGCUGAGGUGGGUACGCUUCGAGGUAGACAGGAUGCCGUUGAUUUGCAGCCUCCCGUGUAGGAACCUUGUCGUGCGAGGAAUGCUGGAGGGGGGUCAUAUCUGGCAUUUGCCGCGUCGUGCGUGAUUAAGACUUGGCCAUACGCGUGCCAUACGUGAUGCAGGAUGUGCUCACCGGGUACUUGUCCAAGUGCGGCGCCACAGCUCAAGGUGGUGAGCGUGCGCAAUCAAUAGCUGUUCGCAACGUCUUGAGCCUCGGGCACCACUUCAAAUGAGCAGGGGCAAGGGCUACAGUGCAGCGCGCGUAGGCGUGCAUCACCAGCUAGCGUGAUCCUCUGUUGCUCUUUUAGAGACUGCGAUUUGGGUUUCCACCUGAGGUCCUGACGCUACCCGCUUUCCUGUUGUCGUCCUGUUCCUACCUGCAGGCGAAGGCAACGGCGCCACAGGCCGUGAUGUGUUCCCUGGGCCGCACCCUGGCAGGACCGCCACACAGCCACCGCCUGCUGCAGCUGGUGGCACGGUGAGCUGCGUAAUGCUGUUGCGGGGGCUUGCUCCAUCCAUUGAAUGUACGGGCCGUGCAGGGCAAACGCCCAAGAGGUGGGCAGGGCCGGCGGCAGGGACGUACCGUGUUGCUUGAAUGCUGGCAGCUGAUGGCAUGACUAAGGUUGGGGGUACUGCGCACAACCGCAACCGUACCACACACUGCUGCGAUGCCGUUUGAUAAGUGUGUAACUCCCGCCACCCCUCGUCCCUUCACUGCUUCCGCAGGACGCCACGGAUGCAGGGAGCUCGGGCGGCCCGUCUGCCGCUGCGUCAUGGGAGCGGCUGGGGGCCCGGCGGAGCGCGCUGGCAGCCGCGGAGCACAGCGAGGCGGGCAUCGCGGCAGUGGCACCCGCGACCGCCGACAUGCUGGAUACGGAGGAGGGCGCGCAGGUCCAGCGCGGCGCGGCAACGCCGGCCAGUGGCGCAGUGAGUUCUGCAGGCGUGCAGGGUUGGGGAGCAGGCUGUGUGGCUGUAUCCUGCGAGUCUGCCUGCACAUGUGAAGGCGAGGCCGACUUGAGCGGGGCUGGUAAAGGCCAUAACGGGCAGGAGCAUCAGCGAGGGUGGGGAGGUAGCGGUGUCGGCGGCAUCCUGCAUGGGGUCAGCUGAUGACCCAGUUUCAUACUGCAUGCCGGCGCGGCAUCCUGAUCGCAUUGUCCGGCUUGGCGCUACAGGAAUUGCCGCGGCAGGAGGGCGGCGAGGACGGCGUGGCCGCUGAGGAGGGGCUGUGGCCCACCACGGCGUAUGAGGAGUGGUUGCGCGCCCGGCUGCGUUAUGCGCUGUGGCGCAGCCAUGUGGCAUGCUGCUCUAUGCUGCACGGCAUGCCGGGGGGCCCGGCAGCGGAGGAAGGGGAGGCGGCGAAGGCGGCGGAGGCACCCGCCGCCGCCGCCAUGCUGCUGGACGCAGAGGAGGGCGAGGAGGGGCGGCAAGCCAUGGCACCGCCGGCCAGUGGCGCAGUGAGUACCGCGAGCAAGGGUUGGGCAGAGGGCUGCAUGGCUGUGUCCUGAGAGUCUGCCGCGAGGCCCCUGAAGGACAAGGGGCGGACGGCUUGGCUGCGUGUGGAAAAGCAUGUUCGGUUUGGCUGGCGCGAGCAUGAAGAUACCAUGUGCAUGGGCCCAAACUUUCUUGCUUCCUUAUGCGCCGGAUCGGCGCUACACGCCCGCACCGAUGUCAGCUGGCGCAUGCCGCUGGGCUUUUUCAUCUAUGCCACUCGUCGCCAAUUCAUAGCGGCCCCAGCAGUCGGUAACUAUCCGCCCUUGACGAUGCCCUUGCACCCUCUCCCGCCCUCUUUAUGUUCUUCGUGUCACGACCAGGCGGCAAGCGGUGGCGGCGGCGGAGAGCUCCUCUUUGAUGACCUGCGGGCGGCGCUUGCAUCGGUGUCGUCCUCCUUGGGGCGGGGCUCGGCGCCAUUCGCGGCGUGCGCCUGUGACCCCGGCCAGCAUGGCGAGGCCCGGCCGUCAUCAGACCCUGUGCGCACGCCGCAGCCGCCACAGCCUGCAGCCGCGCUGGAACUGCUGUCCCCGGUCACCUGCUGCAGCGGCUCAUCCGCAGAUCUUGCAGCGGUGCAGCGGCAAGGUGCGGCGUGUGCUGCGGCUGCUUCGGCAGCAGCGCCAAGCCCACGCCCACUGCCGUCAGUGGCGGCGGAGGUCCAGACGCAGCAUCCGGCGGCAGCAGCAGACAACGAGCCGGCUGACGGCACCACGCCGCAGCGCUCGGCUAAAGAGGUGACGCCCCAGCAGCCGAACGCGCAGCAGAGAGGAGUCGCGCCGGUGCGGCUGCUGCCUCGGGUGGACCGGCUGCCCCGUAUCGCCAUGACGCCGGUAGGCGCGCGCAUGCAUGGGCGGGAUGGACAGCGGGCCGAUGACACGCAUGCAUGGGCACGCCGCCUAUGCUAUCUUUGGGCUUGCGUGAAGCAUGGGGCGCAUGGGGGUGCUGCUGUUGUUGCUGCAUCGUCCUUCGCACUCCCUAUGGCAAAUCGAACCUGUCCUUAUCUAUGGCGUUCUCUUACGCAUGUUAUAGAAUGCAAAGCUGUGGCAGCACAACGCGCGGUAUAACACAGCCGCCAAGGCUGUGGUGGACAUCGUGCUGGGCGUGGUGGCGACAGCAGAGGAGCAGCAGGGCUCGGACCUGGGCCCUUGCUUCUACCUGACGGCCACCGCCGUCCUGCUGCUGAGCCUGGUGCUAUUGCACGGCCUCGAAGAUCCAUCCACGCAGCCCUGGCUUAAACGGGGCACCCAGAAUAUGGAGGAACUGGUGGCGCAGCUGGAGAGGUGGGCGUCCUUCAAGGACCUCAACCUCGACACGUGCAUCCGGUACCUGUGGGCAGGCGCGCCAGACUGGCCCAAGGUGGCGCAGACCCUGGCCGCGGUCAGGGAAGGCCUCACCCUCAACCACAUUUGUAAGGUGUGUUCGGCCAUCGGAAUGACGUGGCGCGCGCUCGUGUCGUGGAAGCAAUUGCCGGCCCGCAUUCUGACCCGCUAAACGUGCCCUGUCCUGUGUGUGCAUUUACACAGGGCAGCUACAACGCAGUUUUUUGGGUGGUGGGCAGGGGUGACUUGCUCACGAGACAGCCGCUGCAUAAUAUCGAUUCGGACCUGCUGGCGGCCGUCUACAACCAAGGGCCAGCGCUGCUCCGCCACCUGCGUGCGGCCUGCGCGAUUCACCGCGACAGUAAGCAGCCCAUCGGUGUGCGCGUCAUGGGCCUGCUGCCGGUGGUCAACAGGCGCGUCCCGGACCUCACCACCGGCGAGGCGCUGCGGAGCCUGUGCGCAGCGAAGGGUAAAGUGGCGAUUGCCAUGGUGUUGGAGCGACUGACGACCGUGGAGGAGGUCGCGAAGGCGCUGGCAGCGUACACCGUGGCCCGUGGCCCGUGGCAGGUGAUUGGGCGGGUUGCACGCGCUUCAUUCAUGCCCGGUGCCAGCAAGCGUUUAGCCCGCAGCUUGCGCACAGGGCAGCUUGUGCAGCGUCUUCGUUCCAUUGCCAUACAUCGAUGGCAAACCGUAUGAUCCCUCGUGCACCGCGUGCAGGAGGGUGUGUGGCCGCUGGGCUUGGGGCUGGCGCUGACGAGAGGCGUGCUGAGCGCGACGGGUCAUUUGAUCAAGCUGGGGCUGCACCACGGCGAUAUCAAGGUUAACAACGUGGGGUUCACCGACCUCAAGCAGCAGCCGUUCCGCGACGCGACGUUUCUAGACAACGACGACCUGAGCCAGGACCCAAAUGGGCGUGUGCACAGGUACCACACCUCUCGGUUCACGGCCCUGGGGGCGCAGCAGUGUAUAAACAGCGGCAACAUGUGGUGCCGCCCGAGCUUGCGGCUACAGGGCAUGGACCUGCACCAGGUAGAUGUGUCUGUUGUGUCGGUCCGACGCACGCAUGGACACUAAGCACUGCUUGCUUGGCCGUAAGUGCUUGCAAGCUGGCGCAUUCGCCUGGCUUGGCUGACUAGCUAUGGCCCCGGCUCUCUCCUGCGCAGGUGCAAGGCUUUCAGGCCACGCUGAUAGUGCUGCUGCUGCCGGAGGCGGUGCUUUACCAUGCCAACGACGGCUGCGUCAAUUUCUUUAGUUUUGUCCCGGCGCUGUGGAACACCGGCCACGGCGGCCUAGGCGUGCUGUAUCCCAGCCAGCUGAUGUCCGCCGUGCUGGCGGGUGUGCUGGGGACUCUAAUGCACCCGCUUGCCGACAAGCGCAAGGGCCUGCCGGAGCUCAUGCCGCGCGUCCACAGCCUGUGCAGCGCCAUGGACGAGUGCGAUUUCUGCCUUCGCGGGCUCACUGACGCCGGCGGGUGCCUGCGCGUGCCGGUGCGUGGUGCCCAACCGAUGUGUUAGUUAAGGUUGGAUUCGCAUGCCGUGAUCCUGCCGCUCGGGCAUGGGUGAAACCCUACGUGGUUGUGCUGCUGCUGUCUUUCAUUGUGGCCACACAUGCACAUCGGUGGCCCCUGGUUGCAGAUCGGCGCCGGGCCGCUGGCCCACCUGUGCAGCCCGCCACAGACCGACGUGCUGCUGCGCCAGCUGCUCUCGGCGCUGGAGGAGUGGCGCGAGGACCCGUUCAUGGCGGCCAACCUGUUCCAGGUGAUUACGCUGCUGCACAAGGCGGCCCACUGCACCUGGCCCGCCGGCCCCGUCAACGACUUCAUGCAGCGGGUGCUGCUGCUGGCGGUGCUGUGCGACAUUGUGCGCGUGGAACGCCAGGCGGAGGCUGGGCUAGAGCGACCGGAGCUGCUGCUGCUGUACAAGGUGCGCGCUGCUGUACAUAUUGGGCCCCUUACAUGUCAUGACACCCUUGGUAGAUUGUCUGGAUGGGUUGCGAAUUGAGUGCGUGCGUGCGUGCUUGGCCUGCUGUUUGUGCUGCAGGGCAAGCAAGGCGACCGCGAGCGCACGCUACUGCACCUGCUGGGCGCCACCGGAAGCACGCAGGGCUACCUCACCAUUCUGCGGGCUCUGGCCAUGGCUGGCCUUUGCUUUGACCGCUAUAAACGUGUCAUGAACGCGGUCGACCAGGUGAGUGUCCGAGACACCGGGGCGGGGUGCUGGCUUGAUUGCUCGUCACCUAUGCCUGAUGACCCAAGCUGGUGUGCUGGAUCCCGUCACCCACUGCAGAACGGAUACUCGCCGCUCAUGCUGGCGGCCGUGCAUGGGCAGCACGCGCUCGUCAUGGCGCACAUCAGCUUUGCAAAGGAGCAGCUGGACGAGGAGGCGCAGCAGCUGCUGAACGAGGCCCUGUCACCCGACCUACGUAAGGUCAGCGAGCGUGCGGUGUUACAGCUGCUGGACGGGCUGGUCCCGCAGCCGGCCGCCCUGGGAGGCCUGCUCACCAUCCUGUGCUCUCAGUUCAACGGACACAACGACCAGCUUCAGAAGCUCCUGGCGUACGUGCCGCCGGUACUGCGGCUGCCAGAGGUGACCGGCGGGCAGGGCGGCGGGGCAAGCAGCAGCGGGGCGGGCGGCGAGGUGGCUGCGGGCGGGCUGCUGGCAGCCGCACAUGCGCACCUGGGCGCGUCCCAGGAGAAGCUGGAGCAGGCGCUCGAGGACUCCCGCCUGCAGCCGCUGCUGCGCUGCCUGCGUGGGCCGGUUCAGCCGGCGGCAGGCCAGGAGGCGGGACCCCACAUUGUGGAGCAGGUGGCGCGCGGCGCGCUCAAGCUGUUUGCGACGGCCGCAGAGCUGCCGCUGACAGACGCGGUCGUGAAUAUUGGAGUCUAUGUACUGCCGGCUCGGUUACUCACGGCAAAGGUGACUGGCGCCCGUAUGGAUUUAGACAGGUCGCGCCCUGAUGCAACUAGCUAUACAGAUGCCGCAACGGUCUGGGAAACGUCGGGCGUUGCGCGGAUGCAUCCAUACCCAUUCGCACGUGUGCGUCUUGCUCUGCAGACCGCUCGGGAGCUGGGCGCGGACACCCCCUUCCAUGCAGCGGCUGCGAUGGCUGGUCCCCUGCCCGGGCUCUAUGCUGCGGUCGAGGAGACGUUUGGAUGCAAGCUUGCCGACAAAUGCCUGGCGGAGUUGAACGCGGUAGGUGCGAGGAGCAUAGUGCCACAGCAGUGGAUGACGGCGUGUGGUUGAGGCUAUCCAAUUCAGUGCAUACCAUACCGUCACAGUGGCAGAACGCUCCCACUCCUCCCACUACUUUCCCCGCCCGACCAAGUCCUCCGACCCUCCAUACCGUUACCGAUUUCCCCUGUUUCGCCUAUCCCUCCCCUCUUCAGUCGCGCGAACAGCAAGUCCAAUCGCUCCCUCCUCCGGUCCGCACUGGCUCAUCUGUCUUUUCAGGCACCCCCAUCAAUUACCGUGCCUGCCGCACAGAUCCCGCACGAACUGUCCUCUCCCACCCAUCCGCAAGGACUGUCCCGAACGUCCACCGUGUACCCCUGAACGCGCACAACCCCCCCCCCAUUGACGUUCAGUGAUGGCGUGUGCGCAGAGGAGACAAUUAGCGGAACUCACAGCCGCGACACGGGUAUACAAUUGUACAUUCUAUGGCGCUCAUUGGGCACAGCUAACUGUGUACUUCUUUGCAUUUGUGUCCACGCAGGACGGCCGCACGCCGCUGCAGGUGCUGCUGCAGUGCCACCCAGUGCUGAUGUCCGCACCCAGCAGGGCGUUUGGAAAGGUGGACGACCACCGCACGGAAGAGGGACGCGCCAAGCUCGCCGCGAUCGCCGUCGGUCUGCGCGACUUCAUGGCGGAACGGGUCAAGGACUCCGCCACUCAAUCGCUGCAAGCGGAGCUGGGCAUGGCGGUUCCCAACCUGCUGCCAGGAUGCUGGUCGUGAGCGCCGCCAUUCGGUAGGUCGGGCUUCGUGACGGUCAGGUGGUAGCUUUGCCCCGCUUCUGGUGUGCCUAGCGGCGGUGUUGCGUCAAGAGGGGGUAUCCGAUGGUCUCUCAUGGCCUGGGAGGAAGGUGUGGAUGGCGUAUGUAUGCCCUGUGUUCCUCUUUCCGAAGGAUAUGCAUGUGUUUCCCGCGGAUGCACCGAGCGCUAUGCACAAUGCCCGGCGUGAUCCAGGCCCAUCCCAUUUACAGGGGCGGGUGGCGGCUGGCGCUGCGGCGAGUGAAGGCGCGGCGGGUGGUGGCGGUGGUGGUGGCUGUAUUAGUCGCUGUACCCGCCCGUGUACGGCACUGUCGAUCUUGAGCUGCUGCGCCUGGGCAACUGUGGCGGCCGCGCGUGCUUGGGCGUCGUGCGUGACAUUGGAUGGGUGCGGGCGGCGGCACCUCCUGUCUUUCCGCAAGACUGCAGUGCUUAAGCGGGAGCCCUGACGUGACUUAAAUACUUGUCUGCUAUGGCUUCGGAUCAUGUGCCUGAUACGCGGAUGCCGACACAAAAGGUGAAAGCUCUGGCCGGUACUCUUGCCCCACUGUCACCAGUGGAGUAAAGCUGUAACAACGGAGGCGUUAUGGAUUGUUGCUGCUGCCCACGCAUGCUGGGGCUCCCCGGUGCGUGCGUGUGACAAGUAGACAUGCAGGGCAGGGGGGCACGGACCGUUGCUUUAAGUGCGCCAUCAGGCACGGGUGAAAACCAAAGAACGACGUGUUGCAGGGUCUGCAUUCCCACAUGCGCUUGCACUUGCUCUUCGGGCCACGUGCCCCAGAUUGCCGCCUGACCUACCGGGCGUGCACAACCUGACCUGGCAGUGGGAACUUAGGUCUACAUUAGAGGCGUUGCACGUAUUAUCAAUGAAACUAUGAAAGCCCCUCAGUAGUGCCCAGCGGUGCCGCGGUGGUCGCGAACAGGGCCAUGGCUAAAAGCAGAAACGUGCGUGGGCUGCCGAUAGUGCCGAAUAUGCGGAGAUGGGCCGCGGCCAGCGCCACUGGUGGGCAGCAAGUGCGGGUUUAGACGGAUGAAGGGGAAGAAUCACCACAAGGGCGGGCAGGGGAAGCAAUGAUGGAUUGCGUCUUGCCUUUCAGCCUGAGCAACUCUGAACUUCAUCUUACAGCACCAUAUCGGCCGGUUGCCCAAUACCUCACGCCCGCAUCCGAUGCUUUAAGCGCGCCAACAGGCACGGGUGAAACCAAGGACAUGUGGGAGCUGCUGCUGCCAUGCCUGAUUCGACGUGGGCGGCCGCGUCCCGUUGUCCGGGCCAGCCAACCCUCAUUCAUACCUGCUUUUUACAAUGCGACCCAGCCUGUACAUACGUACGGGACGGUAGGGGGCUCCUGCAAAGAGUUCGUGUGAUUGGGGCGCCGGCCGGACCAGGCCGGAGGCCCUCACGGGUCCCCUCUCGCCCACUUCAGCUGUGCGGAUGACCCGACCGUGCAAACCCAGCUAACCGGGUUCCGGAGCAAUCAGCUACCGGGGGCACCGGUGACUCAGUCGGCGGGGCAGACAGGCCAGCGCAUCUGCACCACAGGAAGCCGCCUGCCGGCAUCUUCUCGGUUGUCGCACCCUCCUCACCUAGCCCUCUUCCCCGGCCCAAGAACCUCGCCUGGCCCACAUCGCAACAGCCCCCGCUCCACGUGGACGUAGGUGGAUGAGCGGGACCGAGCCGCCAAGCAGCAGUGCCAAUGCCACCGGGGCCUGUGUCCAUGCAGUCCCAGGUUGCAGCCGAUGUAGCUGCUGUCAGGCCUACUCGGGCAUGCGCCGCGCACGCACGGUUCGUGUGGCGCAGAGAACACGGAGAACAAGGCUGCACAGGAGAACCUACAAAGAGUUGCAGUCCUCAGGCAAUCCUAAGGUGCCAAAACCCAGCCCUAACCUGCAAUCGCUUGGGCCUCAUGCUCCCGGUUGCAGCUGAUCCAGCUGAGGCUUGCGGGGCGUGCAUCGCCGCCAACCUCAACGCGGGUGGCACGGAGGCCCCAAGCCCCGACCAGGCUCCGCCGUGCUCUCUGGCUCAUGAGUGCUUGCAAUUUGUCCUUUACGGGAAAGGGAUACGCGCUACAGUAGUUGCCUCCUUCAGGUUUGCCAUAAGUUUGCGCGUGUGAAAUCAAGACGCCUGUAACGCGUAAUCAUAUUCGUUUUUGGAGCAAAUGGAUCUUAUACAUAAGAAUGUGCAGGUGUAAAUCGCAGACCCAGGGACCGCUUUGACUAAAUGCCGACCGGGCCCCCAUCAUGCAAGUUGUGCACCUGGAUGCCCUUUUGCCCAGUCCCGCUAAAUUCUAAGUUGUUUCUCGCUCUGAGCUUUUACCUUAGUACUCUAGGGGCGCCUGCCGACUUGGGCACGUGCUGAGAAAGAUGCAGGCUUCUUUGCGCGCGCGGGCUAGGCCCUUUACCUCGGGUAUGUGACUCUAGAGCUGGACGUAGAUCUAGGAUUGAUGCGACUAAAAUUGUGGGCUUGCUCUGCAGGCGCCCAGCCAUCGCUGCGGCGAGCGCCCGCUCGCGUCUGCCGCCCCGUGGCGUCAGCAGCGGCUGCUAAAGGACCCGUUGUUGUUGUGGACAACUACGAUAGCUUCACAUACAACUUGUGUCAGGUGGGGCGGUCGCUGCAUGUUUGCCGCGAGGCAUCGGCACGUCUCAGCGCCUCACCGCUGCCCUCUCUGACGCCAAUUGCAGUAUCUGGGUGACUUUGGGGUUGACUAUGUGGUGUACAAAAACGACGAGAAAACCGUGGAUGAGAUCAGGGCCAUGAACCCUCGCGGUAUCCUCGUGUCGCCCGGCCCCGGUGAGUGCUCGCCUCGCAGCCCCAGCGCCACGUUCUUGGCUUGGCGCGUCCCGCCUUUGAUACGCCCAAACAGGGCUAACUUGUGUCAGCUAGCCCUUUCCGCAUCUUGUGCAUGGAAUGCUGGGCUGUGCAACUGACGGUGAUGCGGUUUCCUGUCAUGUGCGCGCAGGCCGGCCCAUCGACUCGGGCAUCUCCCUACAAACAGUGCGGGAGCUGGGUCCCGACUUCCCACUAUUUGGUGUGUGCAUGGGGCAUCAAUGCAUUGGCGAGGCAUUCGGAGGUGCGUCGUGCUGGGGCUGCUGCGAUGAUGGUGGAGGGAUGAUGGAGGGUAGCAUGGGUCAGGAACGGGGAGGAGGCCAGGGGCGGAACACGCCGCACACGCCGCACCAGUGAGGGCCGCGCACGCCAAACCUGGCUGAGGGCAGGCACCAGGCAGCAUAUGUACGUGAGGAUGAGCAUCAACCCGUUCAGGCGCCUGAAGCAUUGCCGUGCGUCGUGUGAGGGUCGUGGUGGGGCAGCCGCAGCCACAUACCGCUACCUGCAGCGGGCGGCAACAGCGGGCGGCCACUGCGGGCGUGGCGACAGUGGCAGCGGGGCGCCGGCGCCGCCCGCACCCAGGCCGCAGAAGUUGCAAUUGAGGGAAUCCAGUGACCUCAUACAGCGGCCUGGCGCAGCCCUCAGGCCGCCGCGCCAGGACCUGCAACAUUCCCCCUGGGGCGGCAGGCGACUGCAGAGCCGGUCGUCCGCGCAUGGGCGGUAGCUGCUGCCGUGGCUGCCACCCGUCAGACUGCCGCCCCGUCAGACUGGCUCCCUGGUGUGCUGCGCUGCAGGUGACGUGGUGCGCGCGCCGUGCGGGGUGAUGCACGGCAAGACGUCGCCGGUGUUCCACACCAACGUGGGGCUCCUGGAGGGCCUGCCCAAGUAGGUGUGGCGUGCCGCGUGACGUGUCGCGAGCGGCGUGGGAUGGGGAGGGGAGGGGAGGGCGAGGGGAGAAGCGAGGGGUAGGAGGACAGGGGAGGGGGGGGGAAAGGGGGGGAGCAUUGGACCCGAUACAGAGGGUAGCCUGCAGCUUCGGCGUGGUGGCAGGGCAAUACGGUAGAGUAGAGAGGAGGGGAUCGUGCGCGAUGGUCUUGCGGGUUGGAAGUGAGGGCUACUGGAUCGGGGCUGGAAAGCAGCUUCAGGGGUGCAUGCGGGAGAGGGUGAAACAUGGCAAUGAGAUGGCGCGGCAUCCGACCGAGCAGCUCGGGCGGCGUGGCAGCAACAGGAUGGCUUUGGGGGCGCAGCUGGAGCGCGGGCCUGCAGCGGAGGCCGUCAGCUGGAGGGCAGGCAGCGGGUGGCAGAGCAGAUCUGGUGGUCCAGAUGGAGAUGCACGCGGGGAUGGGCAGGGGCGUUGAAGGGCGGGCGGCACGGGGUGGGCGGAGCGCAGCGGGAAAGGGGGACUGCUCGUGGCAUGACGUGACAUGGCUCGUGGGGUGGGUGGUGGGGCUGGGGCGGGUGUCGACAGUGUUGUGCUCGCUGCCUUCCCGCCCCGGCUCCUGCGUCCUGCUUACGCACGCGUCACAGCACACCCACAACUGCGUUCUCCAACACCUCCACCUGCAACGCGACUCGCUAACCACCCCCACCCCCGUGGCCCGAAUUCCUCUUGACCCUGCGCGCCAUCCCAACCGGGGCACAUGUUCUCCGCUCUGGCACGUACACCCCGCUUUCACCAGAAUCGCACGCCUAAACCGUGUCAUCAAUCCCCCCCAUCGCCCUUCACCCGCGGCCCACGCCCCACUCCCGCAGCCCCUUCGAGGCGUGCCGCUACCACAGCCUGGUCAUCAAGCGCGACACCAUCCCGGAGGACCUGGAGGUCACGGCCUGGACGGAGGACGGCACCAUCAUGGGCGUGCGCCACAAGAAGUACCCGCACAUCCAGGGGGUGCAGUUCCACCCCGAGUCCAUCAUCACGCAGGUGCGCGGCAGGGGUGUGUGGGAAGGAAGGGGGUUGUAAGUGCCAGCCUGAACUAAACCAAACCACGCCAAACUAGCGGAGCACAGGCAGAGGCGCGGGCACUAGGGGGCGCUAGGGCAACUGUCAAGGACUUGCACCCGGCGCCGUGGAUAUGAACAUAGUCCUGUCACCAACAUUGCUGUACCCUCGCCACUGCAGAGUGGCAAGAAGAUUGUGGAGAACUUCGUGAAGACUCUGUAACGCCCUGUUGUGACGGUGAAGGUGGCGAGGAGUUUGGCGAGCAGCGUUUAGCGGCGAGGAGCUGCGUGGAGCUAUUGCCAUGAGCGACUUGCGUGGAGGCACUGCCUUCUCUGAAACUGUGAAAGUCAUGUUGCGGCGGUGCCUGGCCAAGUGGUGGCGCAGGGCGUGGCCCCAGCUGUUGCCAGUGAGGGCGGUGUGCUGCAGCUGAGGUGAACACGUGGUGCAUGCGCCUCGGGAACCUCCGGUGGAAAUGAAGUGAAGUGAAGGAGCGUGCUGGAGGCGUGGCAGUGUGAGGACAGGGCAGCUGAGACGUGAGGGUUGUGGAGUGGAGCAUGUGACUGGGUAGCAAGGUGUGAUUGGGGCGCGUAGCUAGGGGUGCGUGAGAGCGUGGGUUGCAUGGUCUGCAUCUUGACGCGGGUUGGGCACAAUUGCAGAGAGUGUGAAAGGAGGGCAUGCGUGCAGGCUGUGCAGGCCCCACGCCUCUGAACAACUGGGCAAAGCCGGGGAGGUGGCUUCGGGUUUGGUGUGGGGUUAAGUCGUGGCUGCCCAUGGAGCGGCGGGUGUGAUUGCAAAGUGGGCCACGGAAGUAGCUAUGAGACACCGUGUGUUAUGCUGCUACUGCGUGCAAGGGGUUUAUAGACACGGGUUAUUGAGGUUAGGGUUGUUGGUGGACGGCGCUUAAUAGUCGGGCAGUCGGACAAGAACCCUGGUUUGGGCCCUGCAUGAAAGGUGAGCGCCGAACAAAGCAUGCAAGCGAGCCAUGUCUUACGACAUCAACGCUACCGCUUUUAAACGUGUAUCUUGGAAUCCACAGCGGUGUCCUAACUGCAGUCCUGGGUCGCCUCGCCUGGAGAAAUCGGCUUUGCCAGAACUGUCAUCCCGCUUACCCAAGCUUCCCGCACAUGCUUUUUGUACAAUUCGGCUUGCCCAAGCUUUCUUUAGGCCAUAUUGAAUUUACUUCCAUCCGCUGCGCGCGAUAAGAAGGCUCCUGGCCGCCGACUCAUAGUUUACCUCGCUUUUCGUUUGCUUGUUUAGUCGGUCGCUCGCCACGAUGCUGGCUAAGUUUGCCUCUGGGCAAUUACUGGGGGCAACGGCGGGCUGCUCUACGCGGCAGGCGGCAAUGCCCGCACGUUGCCUCAGCGGUGUCUCCUCGCGCGCCCAACAGCCUCUGUUAUCCUCGGGCCAGACUAGCGCCCAAUUGCCUAUUCAAAGUCAUCGCUGCGCUGUAAUUACGCAAGGCCAGGCAAACAGCUCGCUGCGCCUGCCGAUUGAGUUGGACCUUGAGACGCCGUUGCCCGGCUUUGAUAGCAUUUCGUCGGCGCUGGCGGACCUUGCAGCUGGAAAGGUUGUGGUGGUAAUUGACGACGAGGAUCGGGAGAAUGAGGGCGAUCUCAUCAUGAACGCGGACAAGGUCACCACGGAGACCAUGGCAUUCUUCGUCGAGUACACCAGCGGUGUGGUGUGCAUUUCCAUGGAAGGCCAGGACCUGGACCGCCUCAAGCUGCCGCUGAUGAUUAACAGCGCGGAGAACGAGGAGGCCAUGUACACCGCCUUCACGGUGACCGUGGACCUGCGCGACGACAUCACCACCGGCAUCUCCGCCUCCGACCGCGCCAAGACCAUCCGCCGCCUGGCUGACCCCUCCGCCACCUGGACUGACUUCCGCCGCCCCGGCCACAUCUUCCCGCUGCGCUACCGCCCCGGCGGCGUCAUCGUGCGGCCCGGCCACACGGAGGCCGCCGUGGACCUAGCGCGCCUGUCCGGCUCCUUCCCCGCCGGCGUGCUCUGCGAAAUCGUCAACAAGGAGGACGGCAGCAUGUCGCGCACGCCGCAGCUGCUGGAGUUCGCCAAGCGCCACGGCCUCAAGUGCAUCACCAUCGCCGACCUCAUCCGCUACCGCCUCCGCAACGAGGCGAUCGUGACGCCCGCCGGCGAGCCCACGCCGCUCACCGCUGCCUCCGGCGCGCGCCUCACCGCGCAGGCCUUCCGCAACGCCGUGGACGGCACCGAGCACGUGGCCUUCGUGCACGGCGCUGUGGCCGACUCGGCCUCGGACGUGCUGCUGCACGUGCACCACGAGCGCACCGUGGCGGACCUGCUGGACUGCGCCGCGCCCGGCACCAGCGCCGGCGGCGCUGCCGACUGCAGCCUGCCCGCAGCCAACGCGAGCUCGCUGGACGGCGCGCUGCGGUCCGUGGCGGCGGCGGGCGCGGGCGUGGUGGUGUACCUGCGCGGGCAGAGCGCGCGCGGGCUGCCGCCGUCGGCGGAGCUCGCGGCGCUUGGCAGCGGCGGCGCGGGCGCGGGCGCGCUGUACUCGUGCGACCUGAAGGACGCGGCGGUGGUGGCGCAGAUGCUGCGGCAGCUGGGCGUGCGCUCCGUGUCGCUGGCGGGUGGCGAGGGCGCGAUGGCGACGGCGCUGCGCAGCUGCGGCCUGGCGGUGCGGCCCGCGGCGGCGGCGGCGGGAGGCGCGGGCGCGGCGACGCAGCACGUGAACGGCAACGGUGCCAGCAGCAACGGGCACGUGCACAGCUCGCCGCUGCAGACCGCGGGCAUGCGGUGAGCGGCGGCUGUGCGCCGGAACGCAGGGCCGGGGGGCGGGGGGCGGGGGUCGGGAGCGGGAACGAGAGCGUUUAGGGUGGCGCCGUGAGGCACCGUGUUAGGAGCGCGGCAACUUGGUCACGACUGACUGACGUGUGCGGUUGACAUGACGGCGUGGUAGUGCGCAGAUCCCACGGGCAGCGGGCAUGCGGGUUCGGGACAUGGGCGGUGUGCACGGCAGCGCGGGUCUGCAACGCGGGUCUGUACGCAGGUUCACAUGUGUCGGCAUGGGCAUGGGCAUUGUAUUUGCCAGUAGCAACCGGGUGUGACGGGAACAGGUCGCAUAGCGAGGAGGCAGGACGGCCCCCGCGGGCACGGAAAUACUCUACCUGAAGGUGCGGAAUCGAAGGCGCGGCUCGGGCCUGUGCCCAGCCAGCCAGCGGGCACGGCUGUGAGCGUGUGAGGUUGCCGUGAUGGAAUGUUCUGCUUGGGGGCUAUGCGAUUCGGGUUGGCCCGCGCCCAACGAGAGACUAGGCUGAGUAAUUGAGAGGACAAGCAACGUGAGGGUGCGUGGAUGCGACCGACUCUGCUGCGCAUGCGGGUCCUGCGGAAGGUGUUGACUGUUACAUGGCAUGUCUGAGUUGUAGCUAGGAUAAUGACUGCUUGGUGAGUGAGCGCGUAGGUUGACGUGUUACGUGUGCAUGCCUACAUACAAUUGACCGCUGACAGAACUGUCGUGUUUUGGUUUGACUACGGUAGUGUUAGUGUACAUGAUGUCGCUACGGUAACACCUACGUUACAGGCGUGUCGCGGACUGUGUGUGGAGGGGGGCGGUGUGUGACCGCAGUGCCCGGGCCAUGGGCAAGUGCAAUAGCAAGGGGGCGGACAUUCGGACGCACGUGUGCAAGAUGGCCCAAGCCUAAUGAGAGACGGGUGAGAGUGUGAGAAGCAAGGAUUGUGCGUGCAGUGAGUAUGAGUCCAGCAGGUGGACAGGAACAGGCGGGUGCUUACGGCGCGGCGUGUGGUCCGAUGGCCCACGGCCAGUCGCAAGAGGUGUUAGCGGCACGAUCGCAUCUACAGCAGCAACGGCCAGGAGAUUGCGGCGGGCACAUACGGUACGCGCGGAGGCAUGACGCGUCAAGCUGGUGCGUGCGGUCCUUGUGAUAGACUGCAUUGGCAUGUGCUGUAAUGUGGAAAGUACCGUACCCAAAUAGCGGACCUCCUGGAUUAUGAGUCAGAACGGCUGCAGGUGCGAGCAACGCGGACGCAUGCUGGAUACAGUCACGCGAUUGCAAGUGCUGCCAGCGGCAUCAAAGAGUGUAGUGCAGCGGGAGCCCAGUGUCACGCGAUUGCAAGUAGGGACCAGUGUCGGGGCACGCGAGCACGGCAUCAGCACACGGUAUCGCGUGACACCAGGGACGCAGCGCAAAACAUAAUUACAAGACCUUUCAGGAGGCCGCGGUCGAGCGACAGCAUUCCACACCGCAUACGACCUCCAGCUUGUGGCUCCUCAUGCCGCUCCAGCGCGCGUAUCACGUACUCGCCCGCGGUCAUUGCACCACCGCCUCACCAUCCGGCACACAAGAUUCCCCCUGUCGCGCAACCAUGCUCUCCGUAGGCCCGUUCACACAGCCCGUCCAAACAAGCCACCUACGUGGCCCAUCACAGCGCCACACCUUGUCGCAUGCAGGUAUACCAGCCCGCAGUCCUGACACACAACGGGUUUGCGCGCAGGGGCCUUCCGGCACCGGCCAAGCCGCCCAGCGCUGUCUUGCCCACGCAAGGACUCAUCCUACUAGGCAGCACCCAGCGCCGCUCGCCUCUCCACCUCCGCAGCCGGCCGAAGCGCCCCGUCUCCCAGGCUCUUCCUUCAUGCAGCAUCUCCCGCCCUGCGCUCCAGUCAGCCGCUAUGGCCAGGUUGUCCAGCCGCUUCGCGCUGCGGGUGCGCCUUCUUCCGCAGUCCGCUUAGAUGUAUGUCGCUGCGAGGGGCAACACACAAGGACCGAGGCGAAAAUGUCGUAAACCGACGGACCCGCCGGUGUAGCACCGGUGUGAGACCAACCAGAGCCAGCGCCCGGCGCACAUCGCACGCUCCAUUCCUCCGCCCCGUCAACUGUACUGCUGGUUGAUAGGUGUUGCUUGGCAGGAACGCCGUGCCAAGCCAGCUGCUGUCCAAGCUGGAUCCAACAGGACGGCCUCCCCUUCCCUCCCACACACACGCCCCUCUUGUCCCGCCUCAUCGCCCCUUCUUAAGGCUGAAUACGUGUUCCCUGCGCUUCCCACCCUUUUCCUUCCCUUCCUUGCUUUUCCUAUCCCACCCUUUCCCGCUCUCACCAGGCAUCUUGCCGACGGACACCGUGUGCCGCUCCGUGUACAUGCGGCCUGCAGGCGCAGCAGCAGGAGCCGCAGCAGGAGGCAGGGGCGGGGCAGAGCAGCUGAGGCAGCGCAGCAGACAGUGCAACUGGGGCCGACGCAACGCACGCAGGGCGCCUGGGCCCGGCCGGUCAUGUCCUGCAGCGCCUCUCCCUACGCCGCUCAGGCAGCGUGCAGGCGGCGUGCGUUUGCACGCCCCAGCAGCAUGCCCCAGUGGUCUGCCACGUGCCAACUACUGUGAGGCCCCCUUCGUUCCCGGCGCAGCCCGCCAAAUCCGGAUCCAGAAGGACUCACCCACUCGAGGCAUGACGCACCACACCAGCGUCAGGUUCACGUCCCGCCCGCGCAGGUUGUGCCCGGGGUCGAUGAACGCGUACUUUGUUUUAUGGUUGGACAGCUUGAAUACCGCCUUGUCCUAUGGAAUUUGGUUGUGAUGUUGGGGCCAAAGAAGGGGUUGGGUUGGUUGGGAUUGGCUUCACCUGGAAGCUUAGCUUGUUCGUGUUCAGGCAGCAGCGCUGACGGUUCAGUCUCAGACCCUAAGCAAGGCCCCAGCGCUCCCUCAAGCCUCGUCACUGUGUAAGGUAGGGGCCUUUCGUGCGCCUGCAGCGAGAGCCCGGCGGCCAACAACGGCUGCCGCACCAGCUACAGCACGGCACGCAGGUGCCCCUCUUCCCCGCGUCCUCUCCCCUACGCGCCCGCCGCUUGCCUUCUGCUGCACAAUGGAGUCCCACAGCACCACCUCGUUGAUGCGGUUCUCCUGCGUCUCAUACUCCGCCUGAACGUAGACGAACAGCUGCUUCGUGUUCCAUGUGAACACGCUGCGAAGAUCGGCGUUGACGUCAAACGUCACGACCGCCUGCGAAGACACACGUGAGAUUCAGUGUGGCGAACCGCACUGGCAGUAUGCCAAUAAUCGGGUGCGGCGAGCUCAGCAUGGUCGGCCAAGCCCUUACUUGGUCUUUUCCGCCGUGGUGCUGCACAAGGCGCCGAACUUCCCGCAGUCCUAGCUUAAUGUUUGGAUUGGACUUAUGGAGUAGAUCUGCGCAGACGCUGCAUGUUAUCGCCUGUCCCAAGAAAAUGCCCUGCCCGAUCACUCGUGUAUUCGCGUCUUGCCUGUUGAUGACGUAAGGAUGCAUAGCACAGCUGCUACCGUUCCAAAGAACGUUACAGCCGUAUUCAGGCGGUGGUAUAUCGAGUGCAUUUCUCUUGCGACCUAGCCUACUGACUGAGAGACACCUGAGUCUCAAGGGCAGUAUAUUUAUUUGCCAACACUUGUACACUGUCCUGCUUUCUGGUGUCGAGCGGAUGAGUGUGCCAAAUUGGGGCUUACAUUCCGCCUGCGUGUCCCGCCUGCUUAGCCCCCCUCCGCGGCUUCGCCCACGAGGUCUGUCUCGCCUAGUCGCCUUCCUCUGCACCUCCGCCACUCCCGCCCAGCAUCAAAACAACUGCAUCUUGGUCACCGCUCCAUCGCAGAACCGAAUGACCUUGACGUCACGCUCCACCGGCAGCCACCACACCGACGACAAGUACGACGACACGCCAACCGCCUCCGCCUCUUUCGCACCCCCGCUUCCCCCCGCCCUUGCCCUUGCCACAUCGGCCGGCGCCGGCCCGCCCAGCAGGCACCGCACACUGUCUGCCCGGCACCGAGCCAGCAUAACGUACGAUAGCGCGCCAUAUGGCGACGGCUGCGCCUCGAAGCCGCAGGCGGGCAGGUCGCACUCGUCCAACAUCAGCUGCUCCAGGCGGGGGCAGGCGGCCGCCAGGCGGGACACCACGUCGGGCGACAGCUGCGUAAGGAAGGGGCAGGUUGGCGCGUGGGGACGGAGCAAGCAAGGGCACGGGGCGGCGCGUGCUUGGUGCAGUGUCCGCUUGGAGUGGUAUGGGCAUGGUCAGAUCUGGCCCACGUGACCCCUUUCCGUGCCCACCCUACCCACAAACUAUUCCGAACCCAUCCUACCCACCCCAUCCAGUGCUCACCUGGCAGCAGUGCCGCAGCCGCAGGUUGCUCAGCGCCCCACAGGUCGUAAGCCAUCCCAGCAGCGCCUCGCAGCUAAACGGCCGCCGCCCCGCGUCCCCCACCUCCCCUUCUCUCUGUCCUUGCUGUGUUCCCCCCUCCUCCGCCUCCGCCACCUGUGAUGCCGCAGCGGCGGCCGCACCACCCCUGCCACUGCCCUCCUCCACCGCCACCACACCAGCGGCGCGGCCACGCCCCGCCUGGGCCUGAACACGACCCACACGCGGUCGCUGGUAGCCGGUCUGCUCCAGCCGCAGCUGACUCAGUGCAGGCGUGCCGCGGCGGCGCAGCUCCCCUAGCAGCCCCACCGACAGCCCCGCCACGCCCACCAGCGCCAGCGUGCGCAGCCGGCGCAGGGGAGGCAGCGAAGGCGGCAGCGGCAGCGGCAGCGGCAGCGGCAGCGGUAUCCGCGCCGCGUGCUCAGCACCAGCAGCACCAUCGGUGCGCGCGCUGCCGCCGCCGCCGCCUGUUCCAACCUCGCUGCCUCCUGCUGCCAGCUGCCCGACCGGCCUGCCGUACAGGAGUGAGAGCAGGUCGUCGUCGUACAGCUCCGUGGCACUGCCGCCCACCAGCUGCAGGUCAGACAUGGCCCACCGCCGUACACAGCGCCGCCGUACGCACUGCCGUACACACCGCCGCCGCUGCUGUGGCGGUGCUUCUUCUUCUUCUUCUGCCUCCGCGGCCGCGGCAGCUUCCAACCCCUCCCUCUGCCCCUCCUGCCCCUCGUGCCCCUCCGCCUCAUGCCCCUGCAUCGCCAGUCCUUGCUGCCCCCCCACCGCCGCCUUCUGCUCCGCCAGCCAGCCCAGCGGCCGCAGCAGGUCCUCCCGCCGGAAGGGGCCCAGGCAGUGGAUGAGGUGCAGCUCGUGCAGCUGGACCAGGUGGGGAGAAGCGGGGUGGGAGAGGGGUCGGGCUACUCCAAUCCCAACCAACGGGGGUUGUAAUCGAAUUAUCGAAACCAUACCCAAUAAGAGGAGCUGCAGGGAUAAGUAGACGCAGAAGACACACCACGCAGGAAGGCAAGUCGACACAGGAAGGCCAGACACACGCCGCACGCCCCUAGCAAGCCCGAUUGCGUUGUGGCCCGGACACACAGGCGACGUGUCCGCCGCAAGUACUGCAGCCUUUCCGCCGUUGCCCGAAUGCACCGUUUGCGCCCUUCCUCCCUUCCUCCCUUCCUCCCCAUCCCCAUCCCCUCAUCUCUUCCAACCUUCCACCCUUCCUCCCUUCCAUCCCCUGCCCGCCCACCUUGCAGCACGCCGCCAGCAGCUCCCCCAGCCCGGCGCCCGACACGCCCGCCAUCUCCAGCCGCAGCGCCUGCAGGUGCGGGCAGGCGGCGGCCAGCGCCCGCAGCCCCACGUCGUCCACGGCCGCCCCCACCCCCAGCUCCAGGCGCGAGAGCACCAGAGAGCGGUGCGGCGGAGGGGGCGGGCACGGGGCGGGCGCAGGAGGCGAGGCGGCGGCGGUGGUGGAGGUGGUGGAGGGAGUGGCGGUGGAUGAUGGCAGGGAAGAGGAGGCAGAGAAGGCGGAGGAGGAGGGGUGCGUGGAGGCGGGGACCGCUGGUCUGCCGCAGCCGCACAGGCGCAGCACGGCGGCGGUGUUGAAGCCCCACCCCACGGCCAGGCUUCUCAGGCCGUGCAAGCCUGCAAGCUGCUGCCCCUGAGCCACCUCCGCCGCCACCUCAGCCCUCUCCGCCACCGCCGCCUCAACCUCCACUUCCGCUUCCUCCUUUGCAUCUCCCUCCUCUCCAGACGAGUCGCUCGCCGAAGGGGUUUGCGCUGCAACCGGUGCCGCCUCUGCCUGAGGCAGGCGCGCGCCGCACCCAGGAGGCACCCGGUGUGGCACACACUCCGUCGGAAGUGGCGCCAGUGGCGGCGCCGCCGCCGCCGCCCGAGGUAUCGGCGGCGCCGCCGUCCGCAGCAUCGGCGGCGGCAGUGCCGCGGGCGCCAGGUCGCGACAGCGGCUGAGCCCCAGGUGCUGCAGCCGCAGCCGGCAGCCACAGGGAUCCCUGGCCUCACCGCUGCCAGCCCCCACUGCCACUGCCACUCCCGCCGCCGUAAAAUCCCCGCCAGCCGCGGCCCCGGCUACAGCCUCCGGCACCGCAGUAAGCUGUAGCAGCGCCAUCAGCUGCUCUGGCCCAACGCCCGAAGAGCCGUUCAGCUCCAGGCGCUGGAGGCGGCGCAGCGCCGGCUGUAGCACCGUCAGCCAGUCGUCGGCAGCUGUAGCAGCCGCCGUGGUGGCCGCAGCAGCCCUGGAAGAUGAGAUGGCUGUAGCAGAUGGCCGGCUCGCUGUGGCGCUUGCGGCCUUGGCACUAGCGGUUCCAUUGGGGGGCAAGCCCUUGGCAGUAGCCGCACCCUUGGUGGCAGCAGCAGCGCUCUUGGCAGAAGCAGCAGCGCCACCACGAGCAACGCUGCUACUGCUGCUGCGGCUGUUGCUACUGCCGCUUCGGUUGCCGUUGUCGAAGAAGCCGCCCAGCUCGAGGUCACACAGGCGCAGGUCUGCAUACGGUAACGGGCAGUUGGUGUUGCUUCCAGCGCUCUGCUCAAACCCACGCCGCUCCGACAUGGAAAUGAAAAUUUAUUCGGCCCUUUGAUGCUUGUUCCUAACCCCGCUCUUCCGUUCUGGGCUUUGGGGAGUUUGGGAUGAGGGCUCUGUCCCCGUCAACCGCCCACCUUGCAAGCACUCCAGUCGCGCCACCGCCUGUCGCAGCUCGCCGCCCCAGGCCCGUGCCACCACCGCUGCCGCCGCCAGCGCCUCCGCCCCCGCCGGCUGCCCAGCCGCUGCCGCUGUAGCUGCUGCCGCCGCCGCCGCCGCCACGCCGCCUGCCCACCUGUUCACAGGUGGCAUGGCAGCCCCCAGCGCACCCGCCGGGUCUCUGCCACCCCCGCCGUUAGCUCGCCUGGAGGAUGACCCGUUGCGGCUGCCCGCAGCAGCCCUUGCUGCUACAGCCGCGGAUGCGGCUGCUGAGUGCGCGGCUACUGCCGCCGCAGCUAAAAUGCCUGGCGGCGCGAGCGGGCAGCCGGACAGGUCGAGGGCGGUGAGGUUGCGGCAACAGCCCUGUGUGGCAUAAGGACAGGAUCAUGACCAUUGUCCCGACGGAAAUCCAUACAGUUAGAAUGACAGGCUGAACACAACCGCUGGCAUAAUGCCAAGCUGCACCUAGGCCCCCAAUCAGCUGGAAUUGGAUGACACAACACCGCACACGCACACACUUCGCACGGACACGCAUGCUCUGUUGUUCUCUUGCCCUGUCUCUCCCGAACACGAACACCACCAAUCGGAUCCCCCACGCACCGCUCUCCCCAGCAGCCGCAGCUCUUGCAGACCCGCAGCCGCCGAGUGUGUGGCCACCAGAGUGUGCAGGUGCGGCAGCAGUACACUGCCGCCACCCUCGGGGGGCAUCUCCGCCGCCGCCAGGAGCGCCAAAGCAAGCGGCGAGCCUUCAUGGCUCCGAUGUGCAACCUGUACAGAGGGGCACGGGCCAAAGCCUCUUCAAGCCCUCCACCUGUACUGUACAAUUCCAUUGCCAGGUUUCAUCCUGGAAAGGCUUCAAUCUAGACCCUCCCAAAGACGGUGAUUCAAUGCUUUUUGACGCCGUGGAGCUGGUCAAGCGCAGCGGGCAAAGCUGAAACCGUAACCAAACCCAAUGCUGCGAGCGCGGCCGUGACCGCUCUAAUCACCUGCAGGAGGGCCGCUAGUGCCGCGCUGUCGCCGUCGGGCUCAGCGACGCCGUCACCAUGGUCACUGCCCCCCUCCCCCUCAAAGGCCGACGGCCACUGGUUCCCAACCGCCAACGCAGCUGUGGUCAGGGCUACACCCGUCGCCCUGCCGUACAGCCCAUGGUACGACAGAUCCACGUAGGUCGGCGCCACCGGCUCCAACUGACCCUGCUGCCGCUGGCGCCGCUGCGGGACCGCGGCCGCGCCGCGCGCGUGCUGCGCGAGGCGCGUGACGAAGGAAGCGAACAGCUGCACCGCCUGCCAUUGCGGAUGCGGAGAUGAGCGAGAGCCCGAUUUGAAGAGGAUUACCGCAGGGGCCGCAGAGGCAGCACAAAGUGUCUGUGGAUGGUCUGGGCCCUGGUCUGGGCCCAAAAGGAUCUGCCGUCUAGAGCUCCCGCACCAGACCCGAGUUCCAACUGCUGCUGGCGGCGCCUGCACGCUACGCUCAGUGCCCCUCCACCUGCGCCUGCACACCCACGCGCUCCCUGACACCAAACACCGACGCGCUCGCGCUCGGCCCGCCACACCCUCCAUACUAACCUCCCUCUGAUGCUCCUCCCGCCCGCCCCCCUUCGGCACGCCCUCACCUCUGCGCUGCAGGCUGGGCUGGUCGGGUGCGCCGGCAGGCACGCCGCCCCCGACCCCAACACCAGGCCACCACCUCCAUCCGCACCCGCACCAUCGCCAGCCACACCGUCACCUGGACAGCCGCCUCUCGCCUCCAACCCCACCCGGGCCCCGGCCCCCGGCCCCGCCCCCGCGCCCGCCUCCGCUCCUGACCCCGCAGCCCUGGUUCCAAGGGGCCGCAUGGGCCCCGACUGGCUCGCCGCCCCCGCGUCCGUGACCACGGAUUCUCCGAGCAGCGGGGGCACCAGCGGCGGCUGCAGCGCGGGCCGGUAGGUGGACGGCUGGGGCCAUGCGGCGGGGGCCAGAUGCGCGGCCGCGGGCAGCUCGGGUGCCAGCCACAGCGUGUGGGCGGCCGGCAGGUGCGUCACGUGCGUCACCGGCAGCCCCGGAACCUGCAGCGUGGCGUGGCGAGCGUGUGGGUGUCGGUGGUAGGCAGUUGCAGCGGUCGUCAUGCCAACCAGGGAUGGGGUGGGGCAGCGACCGUGCAGGUAGCGUGGCGGCGUGUAAACUGGGAUUGAUAUACCGUACGGGUUGUGACGACAGGGCUGCGGGCUGCUCGUACAGUCAGGAAGUACUCACCGGCCAAGUGCCGGGGUCGCCAUGCCUGCCCUUCCCACCGACGGAGGCCGGCGCUGCAGGGGCGGGAAGCGCAUGGUCGCGAUCGCCUGCGGCGGCGACCGCCACCGCCGUCGCCGCCGCCUCGCCGUCGCGCGGCGGAUGGUGGGCGGCCAGCACGGCAGCAUGGCUGUCAGCGAGCAUCGCCACCCGCCCAUCACUCAACAGCACCGCCGCUGCCGCCGCGGCUUCGGCAGGGGGCUGAAACAUGUGUCCGCGCUCGAGCCUGAGCCGCGCUGCGCCAGCACCGCAGCGUGCUGGCGAGGUCGGCUUGUGGCGGCUUGCGGCGGCGGCGGCGCCGCCAGCUGCGCUGGGCAAGGCGCUGGGCUGAGUGAAGGGCGUGUCAGGCCGAAGGCUGUGCGCCGGAUGAGGAUGGCAGGCCAGGGCCUGCGACGUGGGGUUUUGGGUCGGCUGUGGGGCGGUUGCGUGGAGCAAGGCACGCCAGUCGCCAUCGAUGACGGCUCGGUGGCGCUCCGCCCUCUGCCGCCAGGCCUCCAGCCCACCAAGCCCGGCGCCGGCGCCACCUGUGCAGCCAGAGUUCAGCGAGCGUUGUGUGUUUAUGCAGGCCAGGCGUCACAGUUGGAUUUAUGAGCAACGCGCAUGUGGGUCGGGUGCAGGAAGCCACGGCGCCGCCCAGCCCGCCCUAAGAGGCGGCCGCGUACCUUGACACGACAGGCGGCCGUGUGUUUAGGGAGAGCCCGGGUCACAGCAACGACUGAGCCGGCCGCGAAGCGGGACUUGCCUGUUGUAUCCGUUACCAGAAAUAGUAGCGUGUGGCAUGUGGCUGCCACCGCGGCCUUAUCCAAGGGCCGCAGGCGGCGCAGCACAUCGGCGAGUAUGGCUGUAGGGAGGUCGCAAAAGGACCGCGCCAGCACGCCAGCAGCCUCCGGCACGCACUUACCAUCUUCAGGCAGCAUGGCUGUUAAAGCUGUUGCUAUAGCAUAAUUAUAUCCGCAUCAUCGUUCGGCAACCGGGAGUGCCCCUUCACGCCUAAGACGCGCAAACUCGAAACCUCGCCAACUGCGCCCGCGAGGUGGACGUGAGCUACGCAUGUGAAGUUGAUGAAAUUAAAUGAUCUACGAGUGCAGCUGGCGCUGGAAGGGUCGGUAGGAAUGCUUGAUGGGGCUGGCGCGGGUUCUCAUCCAUCGCGGUUCUCCUUCUAUUAAUCGAGUCCGCCCGGCUCCCAAAGCAUUUGCUUUCGACACACCAACACCACAACUGUCACGACCAAACUACGUACUACCUCAAUUACAUAUCAAACCCCGCGGCGUGCUACCUCCUUGCAUUCGCCUCUCAGAGUUUCCCUGCUCCCGCCAGCGCUACCAGGCCUGGAUUUUGAUCCUUUGGAAGGAUGGAGACGCUGUGGCCGGCUCCAUACGCCCUACCGUAAGUAGGAACGCAGAAGAAGCCGAGGAGACACGCAGUUGGGCCGCGCGAAAGUCGGUUGAAACGCAGCUCAAGCUGCAUUGAUAGAAAGUAAUUUGUGCUGCAAACUGCGUUCGGAUUUGGUGGGAAGGCAGUCGGGCGUUGUCGGGGAGAACGCGGCAAAACUCUGCAGACGCGGCCAAGCCUUUGCGUGCUGCGCCCUAGUCCAGGUUCCUGUCUGAUAUCACGGCGUAUUGAUUGGGCCGGUCAGAUAGACAUAAUUGCGCCUGGCGUGCGCCGAGCGGGCAGUUGACGCGCGACUGCUUUUAUGCGCAGGCUCCAGUCUGCGGCGAUGGCGCUGUCCGAACAGCAGCUUGGCCAACACAUUGAUUCUGGCAGCGAGGAGGACCACAUCGCGGUCGUGGCGCAGGUCCAGACUGGCAAGAAGCGACGCAGUGUGAGCGCGGAAGAGGACCCAGACUAUGAGGACGCCGCGCAAGGCGCGCAAGGCAUAACGCAUGAUGGUAAGCAAUUCGGGGAGGGCCUGGACAGAUUCUUGGUGCUGGACCCUGCUCGCCAUUCAAAUGCUCGAGGGCAGCUCGAGUUUCCUUCCAGCUCUGACUCCCAAGGCGAUGCUUAGAAGCGGUUCAAAUCCUCUUUUUCUAUCUAAGGAAAUCGCGUUGGGAUCGUUUUAGGUCCUGUCAGGCGCAGCCCUGUCAGCUCCGACUGGGCACGCCACCGCCACCUGGCACGAACCACCCGGUUUCAUUUUACCCCCGCCCCACUCUGGCUGUCCGCUUGCCAACGCAUUCAGCCAUAUGCCAGUUUUGACCACUAACACGAUGCUCUCUUCUCUUUCUUUUGCAUUGUGGUGGCUACUCGUCUGUAGGUACAUCAAACAAGGCCGGCUACCGAGGCGUACGGCGCCGGCCAUGGGGCUCCUACGCCGCCGAGAUUCGGGACGCAGGCUGCGGCAAGCGCCGGUGAGCAUUUGCUCCUUGACAUGUAUGGAACAUGUCCUACUCGUUUCGCCAUGCGGUAUGCUUGUACGGGGAUUGUCCUGGCCUGUCUGGCCCUAAGCCACCUGCCUCCUGAGCCAGCGGCCUCGAAGCCUGUCGAGGAAUCUUGUGGGAACUUUGGCUACAGGUGGAUUGGCACGUUCAAGACUGCUGAGGAGGCUGCACGGGCGUACGAUGAGGCCGCCAUUGCGCUGCAUGGGCCUCGCGCCAAGGUGAGACGCGCUCGAAUGCACAGUUUCGCUUGUCUUGAUCUGGGUCGGAUGACUUGCACGUCGCCCUGAUAUUGCUUGCACCCACCGUAACUGUGCGAUUCAAGCCAAGUCCGCGCGUCAGUUAUGCCAGCUAUCCGAUCACAGCGUGCCCGCCUGCGAGCCCCCGCGUCAACCUUCAGGCCGCUGACGCAACCCCGCUGCGCCCCCUUUGCAGACCAACUUCACCUACCCCUGCCAGCAGCAGAGCGCCGCCGCCGCGCCAGCCGCCGCACACAAGGCCCACAAGCCGCACGCCGCCGCCGCGCCGCAGCACCACAAGCCGGCGCACCACAGCCAGCAACCUGCUCAGCCGCGCAAGCAGCCGCUGCACCCCCGGCAGCCGUACCAGCAGCACCAGCCCCCCCAGCUGCCGACGCAUCAGGAGGAGGAGCAGUACCGGCGCAAGUCGGACGACUCAGACACCUCUAUGACCGCUGCGCUGCCGCUGCCGCUGUCGCUGACGGGGCAGCUGGGCCUGCCGCCGCUGACGCUGCCGGGGCUUGAGGGUCUGGACCUGAUGGCGCUGCAGUCCAACCCCGCGCUGCUAGCCGCGCUGCUCGCCGCCACGCGGCAGCACCUCCCGGGGUUGGCCGGGCCGGAUGCGCAGCCCGCCUGCCUGCCGGAGCAGCAGCUGUCGGAGCGGGUCUGGGUCCAGGAGCAGCCGGUGCAGGGGUGCGAGGAGGAGGAGGACGGGUUGGAGGAGCCGGAGCCGCCGCAGGUGCUGCGGCCGGAGCAGCUUCGGUCGCUGCAGGUGCUGGCGGAGGUGGCGCACCUGUUCGGGCGCCGCGACUUCUGCAUGUCGUGACCUUCGCCGGCGUGCCAGGUUCGGCAGGGCGUUAGGUAGGCAGCCGUGCAGGCUCAGCCGGGGUGACGUGGGCGAAGAAGAUGGCAAAGUGAUCUGGGUCUAUGUGGUGGGGGCUUGGGCAGUCAUUCGCAGGCCCCCAAAUAGGUUGGGAAUGGGUUGCCAAGGUACUUUUCCCGUGGGGCAGCAGCUUGGUAGGCAGACCGCGGGUGGGUGCAGGCGGCGCGGCUCUGCAGUGCUGUGCCGGGCUCCCGGAGCACGCUCCAUUCUGCGCCAUGUGAGUCAUGUGCGUGGGACGCCAGCGUAGCAGUCUUACGGUGCGCCUCAGCUGUUUCCUGUGUUUGUCGACAGCCUGGCGUCGAUUGUACUUUUCGGCUGUGCCACGGCGAGGCGGUGACUGCGCACAGACGAAGAACAAGGGGCGAGGGAUGAGACGACGACAGGACUGAGUGUGUUGGGCAUGGACUUCGUGCGGGAUGAACUUAUCAGGGGCAGUAGCCCAUGUUGGUGGGCACAUGUUUGGUGCGGUACCAAUCAUGCAUAGAUGCAUAACAUGAGGCUACCACAGACACGACCGCAGGUGGACGGCUGCAUGUCCGAUUAUUUUGGUUUCGAAGCCGAAGCUGUGUGUGGUGCGUUUUGAGUGGAUGACAACGCACGCGAUAGCGUGCCGGUGAUUCUUGCCGCUACAUGGCGCAGGCGCUGUGCAAUCGGUACAUGGUGAGGCACGCUCCCGACUCAUGGGAGCUGAGAUGGGGACUGAUGGUGUUAAGGCCUUUAUACAUAUUCUACGGCAGCACAACGUCAUCAGGAUUAAGGCGAAUCCAAUGUGUGGCUGCAAGCGGCUCUUGACCACGCAAGCCACAGCCAACGAUUGACGCUUCAUAAGGAGUGUGUAUGGGUACCGCAUGUGGAUGAUAAUCCUACCGAGAGGGACUGUGGUGGUGUCUGACACCUUCGCAAGACGGGCGUAUGCGUGAGAAAGUGAGGGUGCAAUUAGUGAUGCCAGUGAGGUUACAGGUGGCACGCGCCAUAUUCGUUUCCGCCAACUUGAAAGACGUUGGGAGGCGAGGAGAGACAGGACAAAGCUUAGGCGACUAGAUAUACUGCCAACGGCAUUGCAUGGUCGGGCUCAAUUUCCCCUGCCACAAUAAUUCGUGUAUCUAGCACGCACGUGAGCAUGGCAUCGUCAAUGCAAUGUGCGGCUGAGGUUGCCUGCAGGCGGGUGAAUGGGCUGUGAUUACUUUUGUUUGGACUCCCCUGUACGCCCGCCGAGCUCAGGCCUAGCUCUUUCAUUUUUCUUUCUUUGGGGGUCCAUGCGUUGCUUGGGGCCUGAACGGUAUGGGCCCCGAAGUGGGCGUAGAGCCACUGGGGCGGGUAAAAGACCCCCGACAGCAACACGGUACAAUUCAUCCCUGUGCAAGGGGCAACACGGUGUAACACAGCUGCCCACCUCGACUGCUCUCAUGAACCCGACCCCCUGACCCCAACCACAGCACAGCUGCUCCCUGGUUCGAAUACAUGUCUGCGGCCAUUUCAUCUUCUCCUACUCUCCUAGUCUCGGGGUUAACCAAUGGCCUCGCCCCCCCCCCUCCCGGGCGCCGCGACCCACCGUCCAGUGACUUACGGUUAGACGCUUUAUGUCGGUGGCAGGUGUAUGGGUGCUUCGGGGCAAUCAGCCGAUGAAGCAGCCUCCCCUCGGUUGCGGACUUGAAAUCCGGACGGCGUGUGCCAUAUGCACCGCCGCCCUGCUGCAGAGUGGCUGCGCCGGGCGCCCGCCUGCGUCCUCCUCCUUCACCUCCCCCGCCGCGCACAGCAGCUGCAGUCCGAUUGCGCGGCUUGCAUCAUUGCAUGUUUGCUGAGGGUACCUGUAUGCGGCAUGCAGCAUGCCUGACUGGGCGCUCUAUGCAUGCGACAUUACAAGAAAGGACAGUCCGACCAAGCAUGGGUGCCCAGCACCCAGGUCAGGAGGGAACCAUCUCCGGCCCGAAGGGAAACCGCCCUCCCCCCAGCUGGCUGCCGACCUUCACCAAACCGUGCAUUGUUUCUGCGCAAAAAGCGUGUCUCAGCUGCUACACCGGCAUACGGUAAGUCGAAGUCGCCCUAUGCUGUCAAGGGACAAGAAAAGGUGGCUCUCCCUCGCAAGGGAAAAGUGGGCUGCGCCAAAGGGGGAAUGGUAGAAGCUCAGGAUCUUGCCCCAUGCAUUAGAUAAGAGAGCGUUAGGGGAGCAUCACGCACGUACUUAUGGUUCUUCGGGGGUGGUCUGGUGAGCAAGUUCUGGGCCGUCAAAGUUGGGAGGUCAGUCGUGAUCGGGUUUCAGGAGCCCAUCCUGGCGGAUUUUGAGAAGCGCCCCACAACCAGGGGAUCUAGGCAUUUCAAUAACCAGAGCUAGGGGCCGAUCGCAGCACCGUGUGGCUCAAUUAUGCAUGUUACGAUGUGCACAAACAAAGCGUGGGAGGUCCAUUUGCGCGUCCUGGCGUGGACAAGUCGGGACAUGUCCGCACAUGCGACGCCUGCACGCUGACAUGGCUGGGCUCUCAAGCUCCAGUGCACAUGAAUUUAUUUCAGCUGCCGGCGCACGCUAUCGAUACGUCACAUGACAAAGCGUGGAGCGGGGUGGGUCGUAGGGAUUUCCAUGAAUGCAUCUUCGAAUGCAGAGCAGGACUCGUCAAGGAAAGUCGAUUGGGACCACUUUGGAUGGGUUGAAGGGUUUAAGGGUUUAACCCCUACACGAUAAGUCUGUGUCCGUGAGCAUGAGCAUUUACAUGGCGUCGAAGUCCAUGUGGCCCCACUAACUCUUCUGAGUCCGGAGGCGCUUGAUAGCAAAAAGCAAAGUGUCUUCUAAAGCGUCUAUACGCUGUUUACGCGCCUGAGCACGUAAUGCCCGCUCCACCUUUCCAUCGGGGUCGGAGCCCCUUCUCACGAAGAUCCUCAAAAGCCUUCAGUUGCUCCUUGCGCAUCUCACACCCUACCCGGGUCAGAUACGGUGCGACAACGGCACCAGCCGCACGGACCUGCUGCGCCACCCGAAUGAGCGCGCUCCGCUCCUGCUGUGUCACCUCCACCACGACAUGCCACACCUCCCUACCCUUUGACCGCCACGCGCGCACGUAUCGUCCGGAGACGUUUGCGCCACUCGCACUGGCCACCGCCUCCAGAUUUCCAGCCGCCUUGAGUUUCUCGAGCAGCUCACGGCUAACCGACUUCAGCAGGACUUUACCCUCGUCGACCCCCCCGGAGCACCCUGCUCGGGCCAGGGCGCGCUGAGUGUCCUCUAGCGCGCAACGUUGCUCCUCCAUCUGGACUUGCAGCGCUGCGACCGUGCCUUGCAGCUCCUUCUGCCGCCGUUCAGCUGCAAGCGCAGCGCCCUGGGCCUCUGAGACAGAGGCGUGGAGCGCCAGCGCUUGUAGCUGCAGCUGCUGUAUGCUGUCGCCGUGCUGCGUGGCUGCUGAUGUUUGCUGCUCUAGCUGCCCAAGUGCCUCCUCCAAGGCCGCUAGGUACUCCUGGAUGGUCGCGAGCGCUGGUGUUGUGGCGAGAUCGAACAGGCGGGUCGUGUAAGACAGGCGCGUGAGACGCUGCAGCAGUUUCGUAGCGCGCUGAAAUGGGAAGGCCGCGCCAGAGUCCGGAGUGCCGAUGCUCAUCGCACUAGUGCUGGCAACCGGGCAGGAGUCCUGCUGGUCGCUGACACUACUGAAGCUCCCAAAGCUUUCCAAACGGCACCCAGGCCCACUGCUCGCCGUGCUCGGCGGCAGCUCGGGCUGGGGCGACGAUCGGGCUGAGGUUCCUGCGAAAGCGGCGGCCACCGCCCUGUCGGUAGCUUCACGCAUUUUUGCCUGAAAUGUUUCGUAGAAAUUGUGCUCGGCCAUGUUUUGUUAUCUCGUGUCGUGUUUGGUCAGGUGGCCACUUUGAGUCGUUGUGUUGUGUUGUGUUGUGUUGUGUUGUGUUGUGUUGUGUCCUGGGGGUGGUCCAGAUUGGUCGUACCCGAAUUCGGGUCUGGCACUAUCUUUCUUCAAUCCCCCCCCUGGCGCCCAAGCCAUGUUGGUGCAUGCCUCUUCAUCUCUUUCACAAGCAUAUAGUGACAUCUGCUUCCAUGCCGUGACAAUCUGGUCCGCUUCAGUCGAUGCACCCCGUCAGCGUCACCGCGGUCACUCCGGUACGCCAACACGUAGAAAUUCUGCCGCAGGUGUCGUGCAACACAGAAGCUGUCUGCACUACUGGGAUUCUGGGCGCGGUGGCAACUGCUGUGUUUCCCAGGGCUUUUUUGCUUCUUGGCCGCUGGCCCCUUCCCCAACGCAACUUAGCUGUGCACAGUACAAAAGCCGCCCACCCCCUGAUACGGAGCGACACGUGCCUCCCGAAACGCCAGUUACAGGGAAUGUUCCCGUAACGUAUAAUCCACUCGGUCCGCUUUUUCAGGCACGCAAGGAGUCGACACGCGGCUGUGCAGCCCGAAACAGCGCUUUUUGCACUCUUGCAAGCUCACAUGCGCCAUCUGCCUGUGCAUCGUUCAUUCUUUCUACAUCAUCUUCCGAAUCUGCUCUCCUGCAUGUCUCGUCUAUGACCUAACAGGCAUCCCGCGAGUCUCUGCAUUGGCGGCUACCACACGACAUACCCGCAUCAACACAACCAUCAACGGUUUGCAAGUAUUGCAACGUUUUAAAGCAAACAAUCAAGUCAUAGACGUCAAGAAGGUGUGCAUUCCAUCUGAAUGCAACACCUAGAAGUUCCAAGAGAGAGGGACGGGCAGUGACGCCCAUCGUAUUGUAUGUCCGCCCGCUCCUAGCCCGCUAACAAUGUACAUGGGAUCAUCUUGUAAUGAUCGACGGUCAAGCUGCUGCUUGUCCUGCCGCUUACGGCUGGGCAGCGGCGAACAGAGGGCAGCUGCAAAGCAGAAUGAAAAAUGGAGGGACAAGAUCAGAACCACAACCGAAGGCGUGUCGAGGGGGGGCACGGCGCAACCCAUAGCUAGCCAUUUCUACAUGCCAUGCCAACCCCAUAGCAGCACACAGUACUGCUUUUUAGACAUUAGGACAAGCAAACCUCAAGCAGUCACAUCCCAACUCACCAGUUCUUCGUGUCGUCAAACACGUUGCCCCAGCACACGCCAUCGUUGGCAGGCAGGCAGAAGUCCGACAGGGGGGUGUCGUUCUUCAGCUCCAGGCAGAUCUUGCCGCCAUUCGCCUGGUCCUUGCUCCAGUUCAGGGGGGUAGCCUUAACGGUCUGCUCGUCCACAGCGCCCCAGGUGGCGGACAGCCACUUGCCGGUGCCGGUCUUGGGCUGCACGUACACGCCGGUGAUGGCGCGGCGCUUCUUGUCGUCGGCGUAGAACUCGGCCUUGAGCAGGCUGGUGCUCCGGCCGCAGGGGCUGGUGGCGCUGUUGGGGGUCACCAGGGUGAUGCUGAAGCAGUAAGCAGUGGUGUCCUUGGUGCGGCCGGCCAUGCUCGACAUCGCGGGCGCAAUGGCGAAGGGGGUGGCGCCGGGAGUGGUGACGCACUGGCACUUGGGGAAGUCGGGGGUCUGCAGGGCGCAGGCGGCCGAGGCCUGGGCGUUGAUGCACGACUGGGGCAGGCCGGCGACGGCGUCGCCCAUGCCGCCAACAGAGACGACCACGGUGUAUCCGGCCAGGGCGGGGCGGCAGCCCUGAGUCACCAUGUCCAGCCAGAAGUUGAUCUGGGUGUCAACGAAGCUCUGCAGCUUGGCGCCCUCCUCGUUGGAGAAGAAGGUGGCGCACACCAUCACCAGGUUGCCGGCGCAGCUGGUGGACCCAGGGGUCACGGUCACGCCGAGGUCGGAGGCCUGGGUGGCCACGUCGUCCUGAAUGGUGGCGAUGUAGCCCUGGCACUCGUCGUUGCUGAUGGAGUAGGGGAACAGAACGCGGCUGGCGUCGCUAACGGUCAGCGAGAUGUAGACGCAAACCUGGCAAGGAGGAGGGGGGCUGGGGGGAGGAGGGCUCGGGAUGCCGGGCGUGGAGAUAGGGCAGCAGUCGUUCUGGCUGUCGAACAGCGCAGCCGAGCACACACCCUUGGGCAGGCCAGGGGGAGGAAUGCACAGCUCCUCAAGGGUGGUGCAGCCCUUGCCGUUCUUGUUCAUCGACAGGGUGAUGCAAAUCUCAGCACCGUCGCUGGCCAGGCCCAGGCCCAGCUGGGUCAGGACCAGGGUGGUCGAGCCAACGGGGCCAUCGGUGGGCUCGUGGAACGAGACACCGACCUUGGUGGGCACGCCGUUGAUGGUGGCCUUCACCACCUCGCCGAAGACGUCGCACGCCUCGUAGACGUUGAACUGUGUACAUCAAAAUGAGGAACAAACUCAGAGAACUUCUUGAAAAAAGAACUCACACUGUGGGUUGCUGGCUGCUGCGACUUUGAAACCGCGACCCGAUGCGCCGACAACCCACCUCGAUCUUCUUGAGGUCUGCCUUGGAGCAGCAGUAAUCGGUGCAGCCAGCCGGCACCUUGGCGCUCAGCUUGAAGCAGUACUGGUUGUUGCCCUUGGCAACGACAACAUCACCCAGCUUGUAGGCCGAGGGAGACUUCUUGCACUGGCAGUAAGGGAACGAGGUGUACAAGCCCGACUGAGCACCCUGGGCGGCCCUGCAGAUUCAGAACGAAGGGCACACGCGGCACGGAGUUACUGCCAGCGGAGCAAGCGGAGUCUCGGCGACGGGAUAGCCUGCUUGCAACUUGCUGUCAAAUCCGGUGGUGGCGCUACGAUCACUGUUACGCUAUGCUGAAAUCAUGAAAAUAGCCCGAGCAUGCUGUAAGAGCGCCGGUUGCAAGAAGGCCGACCGCAUUCAAGCUGCGCAGCGGACCCACACGACCACUAUUUACGCCGUGAGCGUAAAUGAUUAUCUUUGACUAGAGUCAGCGAUGCUCGUCUAUUCUACAACUCAGGAGCUUCCCGAAGCGACAAAUCUGUGAAACGCGCGGUCUUGCUACUCACGCAAUUGCGGCCGCGAAAAGAACGGAGACUAGAAUGCUGCACCUCAUUGUCACAGAGGUGGUUCAGCUAUAAAGAAAUUGUGAGGCACGCGGGCUUAUCAUGGGGGGCCCGGCUGGUCGAACGAGUCGUACGCCCGCCAUUAACCGCGGGCGCGUUAGUUUGGCGUGCGAUGCAAUCAUUCAUGCAACCGCGCCACUUCGACAGUGCCGGAAACAACUUUUAUUUUUGUGGGUAUGCAUCCGGCUAUUCGGUAGGACAGCAGCUGCGUUACGCUCAAACUCGGGCAAACAAUUGGGCUAGCGGCGUGAGCUUGCACCUCACAACUAUCAUCACACAAGUUAUUUAGAUACUGGCCUACCUUGGGCCAUCUCCAAAACUGCCUGUCCAGCCCGGGAGCGGCGGAGCUGUUUCGCCCGCGGUUUGGAGUGGCUUUACUCGUGCCGACGCAAGUCCUUGAUUUUUGCAUUAUAAAAAAAUUAUAGAGUACAGCUAUAGCAACCAACUUGGCAAUGGAGCUGCUGGCAUGGUCCAAACGCGGGAAGCUGGCGCCUUCUAGGCUCUUUGGAGCCCUGUCGGCUUCACAAGUGGCUGAUGCUCAAGUUGUGCAUCGCUUUGGCCGGACAAAUGUCUCCUAGUAACCCGGUUCACAAGCGAAGCGUGAAACGAAAGCAAAGGAUGCUGCGCGCCGGAAGCGAAACGUUCGAUGCACCUAAUUGGGCGCCAAGCGCGGAACCUUGCAGUCUCAGAUGCGUGUGUGCAUGGAAGGAGAAGGCUGGCGGAGGCGAGAGGAGCGGGGGCAGGGAUUGGCUUUCGUGGGGGGGGCGGGGCAAGUGGCGCGGGCGGGGCUGGGGGGGCGAAGAACGGUGAAGACCGGUGCGAUGGCACAGGGUAAGGGGCAGGUUGGCGUAGUCCCGAGUCCCGAGAAACAACUUACGCCCAACCCAGGCGCCAAUGAAACAGGUGAAGAGCUUGAGGACCCCCCUCCCGCUGUCCGGGCCUUACACACAAGCAGGCCAAGUGCGGGGGGAGCCGUAGCGCACACCAUAUACCGUACUGUCACUGUGCUCGAUUUCGUCGCUAGUGACGCCCCUGCUGGCUAGGGUAGCAAGGGUAAUGGGGGUGAACGAGCCGGUUGCUUAGGCUGUGCCAGCUUUCCCCGGGUUUCAUUGGGGUCACACACUUCACUGAUGCACAACUUUCAGAGCCAGGGGGCUGCAUCCUCCGGCAAGCAGACGCCAGGAGGGUGUCCCUGGCCGCAUGCGCUGGGUCCUGGAGUCUACGGUACGCGUUGCCGCACGCGUCGGUUGGCCAUCCAUUCCCCAUCCUUAGACACAAUGACUGUGUCAUGUGUGCACGUUGCGCUUUAGGCUCGGCCAGCGGCACCCUGGGUUGGGUGUGUGAUGGGUUGGGUCUCGGUUUGAGAGGUGUGACCCUUGCAGAAAGCAGGACUCUCCACACUCCCCUCCCGUGCUGUGCAUGUAUGUUCCUGCAUGCACGUGUGUGUAUGAAGUGAAUGGCUCAGCCAACGGCUGUGUGUGCAUGUGGCCCGCGUAAAAUGCAAUUUACCAGUGAUGGGCACUUCUAUCAGGGAGGGGUAGGAAACAAAGUGCCAGACCCCAUGCCCCGAAAUCCCCCGGGACCCCCCUUGAGGGGACGACCGACCCCCCGACGGACAAAACCUUGUUGUUCAGCGGUUAAAACCCCUCCAUUUAAUACCAAAGUAGUGUCAAUCGACUCCUCUUGACGAGCACUAUCACUCCGUGCCAUCAGCGGUCCUGUUCUGAGACUUCGGUCACGGGCGGGAUCCUAUCCAUGGAAAUCCCCUCGACCCAGACCACCCCGCGCUCAACUCUUUGCCGCGUGACGAAUGGACAAUGUGCAUCGGCAGCCUUGUUAGACGUGAACUCAUGCGCAUCAGCGCUUCAGAGCCCAGCUGUGUCAGUGCGCAUAUGUUGAAUGUGGAGACAUGUCCCGACAUGUCCACGUCCGGACGCGCAACUUAGCCCUCCCACGCUUUGUUUGUGCUUAUUACGUCAUAACGUACACAUAUGAGCCUCGCACUGCUGCGUUUGGCCCCUAGUUCUGCUUGUGGGGCGCUUCCCGAAAUCCGCCAGGAUGGGCUCCCGAAACCCGACGGACCCCCAGGGACGAGGACCGACCCCCAACUUUGGCGGCCCAGAACUUCCUCACCAGACCCCCCUUUAAAAAACUAAAAGUACGUGCAUAAUGCUCUCCUGAAGCUCUCUAAUAUUGAGCAUGGGGUAAGAACCUGAGCUUUCUAACCCCCCCCUGCCAUGGCGGCCACAAUGCCAAGAUGCUACCUGGCGGCGCCACGCACAGCAGAGCCCUGUGCUCCGCAAGGAUGCACACGUGCACACACGCACACACAUGUGCGAACACACGUGCACCUGCCCUCCAUGCCACUCGCCCCGCCCCUUCCCCCUUCCCUCACCUCAGUUAUGGCUGACUGGAUGCGGUUGAUCUCAAACAGCCGGCUGCGCCCCUCCUGGGAGCCGCCGCCGCCGCCGCCAGACAGGAGGUCUGGAGUGCGUGUGAGGAAGGGGAGGGGGGGGAUGUGCCCGAGCCCGAGGUCUCAAGCGUCAAGGAAUUGUUUCCAAACCAGGGGGAGGAAGCGGUAGGGGGGCGCGAAGUGUGAUGUUUGUCGGGGUAAGGUGUGAGGCAUUGGGCAUGGAGCGUAAGGCGGGCAUCAAGGCGGGUAGGGUGUCGGCCUGUGCGCUGUCACCCAAGCCACGGGCGCACCGUUAGCACGCACGCACGCGCACACGCUCACACUACGCACCUGCGGCCGCCUCCUGCCCCUUGCUGGUGGCGCCGCUCCCGCCGCCGCCCCCACCUGCACCCCCAGCAGCCGCCCCGCCCGGCACCGGAGCGCUCACCACCACCUGCGCCUCCGCCGCACCCUCCACCGCUGACUCUGCUCCUGCUCCCCCUCCUGCUGCGGAUGCUUCCGCUGGUAGCUGCACCACUGGCGUGUGCCGUGGAUGCGGUGGGUGCGGCGCCGCCAAGCCAGUCACCGCCGCCACCACCGGCGCCAGCGCCGCCGCCACGGCAGCCGCCGGCUCCCCUCCCGAAAUCCGCCAGACACCCCCUUAAAAAGUUAAAAGUACGUGCAUAAUGCUCUCCUAAAGCUCUGUAAUUUUGAGCAUGGGGUAAGAAACUGAGCUUUCUACCCCCCCCCUGCUUCUAUCAACCGGUUGUGCUUUCGGGGUUACAUGGAAGAGAUUAGGCUGGUGGGGCACAGUGGUGCACGGUGACAGAGACAGCCUUUCUUCCCUGUCUGGGUCAGGGGACAGGUUGUGCCGCCCUCGAGUCCGAAUCAAAUCGUUCUUUGCAGCAUCCCUCUUCAGGAUGCUGAGUGGAGUUGGUGUCGGUAGUAAAGGCCAAGCCCAACGCCCAUUGCGGCAGGGCCCAGGUGUGGGCGGAACGCCCGCCAAGAUGAGACACGAUGAGAGGCACGGCCGAUCGCGCCGAGUUAAGCCAUCACCACGCCCAGUGUUCCGGCCGGUUGUAACAGAUCAACUGUUACGAUCCCUGUUCGAGACAGGGCUGGGCCCUAACUUAUGCCUCUUACGAGUCUUCUAGUGAAUACGCGGUCACCCAAGUCUCAUCCGUUGGACAUCUCCAACCCCUUGCCAGGCUCUACAGUGAGUUAUGUCCGGGGUGGGCUAGGUACUGCUACCCCAGGGGAGAGCCUUCCCUGGCAGAGCCCAGGCCCUGCCGUAUUCCUUACCGGGUCGCACACCCACCGAAGUACCGAACCACGCGUCACGGUCUGGGAAUCAGCUGCACCCUACGGGACUUCACCAACCUGCCUUAACACUGUCCCAUACCACGCGUUACGUUUCUCCACGAUCCGCGGAACGGCGGAAACACGUAUUGACAUGUGUACACCCGCAAGGAGACCGCGGGUGGGUGAGAAUACUGCGCCUGCGCCUGAGAGCCCCGGGGCAAGCUGUCUCAUCCCCGAACGUAGAACUCAUAGAGUGCAGUCUGUGCAAAAGGGAAAGCGAGAUGCAAAGGACGAAGCAGGAGUCGUGUGACGCGUUAGCGUGGAUAAACGCCUGGCGGAUGAGAUCGGACAUGGCAACUUGGAAAUGGGCAGGUUGGUGUUAGUCCUGUGGACCUGAUAUACCCGAGCCGGUUGAGGGCCUCAUGUGCAAAACCGCCAGCGCCGGUCUGCUGGCCUUAUCUGGGUACACGCAGUACCGGUGCGGUAGCUGACGAUGCCAGCGUUAUUGACGAGUGUUGCGGAACUAAUGCGUACGUAGACCAGAGCGGAAGGCGGAGUGGGCUUGCAGGCGGCACGAGAGUAGGCAGUCAGUAGCGCAAGUUGCGAAUUCACAUGUUACCUCGUAACCGACGGUAAACGCUGCGGACGGUCGCGCCCAUGGCUGGCUGACGGAAGGUGGCUGCUGUAUUGGGAUGGCUGGGCUGGACGACGCCGGCCGGGCUGGCGUGCACGAUGUGCACAAACCGUUCCGCCUGCAGAUUGCAGAAAGCCCUGACGCCAGCUGCGCAUCCUGACGGAUGACACGUUGGGGGCUGUCACUCAGCUGCUGACUCGGGACCACCGUGCUGUCCCCUGCCGCAGUUACCGCCGCAGCCUGGCUGGCAUUCAACUUAUGUUGAAAAUUAUAUCAAUAUGACGCGUUCGUACUGUGCCCCCAAACCGGUUUACAGGGGCAACAGGCAAUAGCCCUGCGCACAAACUCCUGCUUCUCACCAGAGCUUUCGCCGUUAUGCACGGCCACGGGAACAAUGGUCCCGGCCAACCACAUCUAUGAACCGUGUCCGUUAGCCUCUCCUGAGGCUUGUAACCGGAACGCGGCUCCGCUGAUUGCAGUCCCAGGAUGACGCUAACCUAAGCAAACAGUCAAUGCGCAUGAUCAUUUACACACACGAGUGCUCUUAUGUACUGCCCAUAUUAAACACAGUCGAGUUGUGGAUCAGUUGCACGAUUCACCGCGCCAGCCCUCGCGGCGGUGCUUCACGCAAUCCGCAUUCAGCUGGUGGCGAGUCGCCAAGCCGCCCCCAACAAAACCCGCACCGCACCAAGUGCCAUGCCGUUUAGACACACGCGCACAACACUAAUCCUGCGAGGCAGUGAUCUCAUCUGUCACUUUGUCAACUACCCAAUCAAGCCAUUUUUCCGAACCCAAUUCAAAACACGCGCCCACGGGCGAAGCUGUGCGCCGUGGCUGUAGCGGCUGCUGCCUCUGCUGCCAACGCCUCACAAAAUCCACCCGUGGCCGUCUGCCACAUAAGCUCCAGCGGUCACCAGCUAUGCUCCGUGCCAGCUCGCGAUAUUGCCAGGCCGUGUGGCCGCAGCAGCUGUUUGCACAGCUGCCGCGAAGCAAGUCCGCUGCCACAAGAACUCAAACAGGGUGGGUCAGCCGCGCGGCUUCCAAGCGGCUUCCACCUUGUGUGUAUGGACACGCGACGCCUCGGCUGCUGCGGGCUGUGCCAUUUACGGCAGGCUCGCCUGGUACAGCGGGCAGCUGCGGGCAAGACACGGGAGGGGUGAGGAAUGGCGGUCAGAUACGUGACAACGUCGAGGCAGAUGUCCGCGGGGAAGUCCGUGGGCGAAGCCUAUUGAUUUAGAUCCCGCAAGACAACCCACAUUGGCAAGUACGUUGUUGCGAGCGUGUCAAUGCAAACCCAACUCACCAGUUCUUGCUGUCGUCGAACAAGUUGCCGUAGCACGAGCCGCCGGGCGCGGGCAGGCAGAAGUCCGACAGGGGGGUGUCGUUCUUCAGCUCCAGGCAGAUAGUACCGCCAUUCGCCUGGUCCUUGCUCCAGUUCAGGGGGGUAGCCUUGACGGUCUGCUCGUCCACAGCGCCCCAGGUGGCGGACAGCCACUUGCCGGUGCCGGUCUUGGGCUGCACGUACACGCCGGUGAUGGCGCGGCGCUUCUUGUCGUCGGCGUAGAACUCGGCCUUGAGCAGGCUGGUGCUCCGGCCGCAGGGGCUGGUGGCGCUGUUGGGGGUCACAAGGGUGAUGCUGAAGCAGUAAGAGGUGGUGUCCUUGGUGCGGCCGGCCAUAGUGGAAAUGACGGGCGUGAAGGCGAAGGGGGUGGCGCCGGGCGUGGUGACGCAAGCGCACUUGGGGAAGUCCACAGGCUCGGGGGCGCAGGCCUGGGACUGGAAGCCGCUCAGGCAAGACGCAUCCGGGGCCUGUGCGGAGCCGCCGAUGCCGCCGACGGCGGCGUAAGCGCUGUAGCCAGUCAGGAAGGCGGGGCAGCCCUGGACGCCGGUGAUCAGCUGCAGCCAGAAGGGCAGGCGCUCAUCGAUGAAGGGCUGCAGCUCGGCGCCCUGCUCCGAUGAGAAGAAGGUGGCGCACAGCUUGAUCACGUCGCCAGAGCAAACAGCCGGGGCGAAGUUGAUCGCGACGCCCAGGUUCUCGGCCUCGGUCUGGAGCUCGUCGCCGAUCAUAGCAGCGUAGUCGUCGCAGUCCUGCUGGGAGAACUCGUAAGGGAAGACAACGUUGCCGGUCUCAAGGAUGGAGAGGUACACGCAAGCCGUGCAGGGAGGAGGAGGAGACGGAGGAGGCGGGCUGGGGGGAGGAGGGCUCGGGAUGCCGGGCGUGGAGAUAGGGCAGCAGUCGUUCUGGCUGUCGAACAGCGCAGCCGAGCACACACCCUUGGGCAGGCCAGGGGGAGGAAUGCACAGCUCCUCAAGGGAGGUGCAGCCCUUGCCGUUCUUGUUCAGCGACAGGGUGAUGCAAAUCUCAGCACCGUCGCUGGCCAGGCCCAGGCCCAGCUGGGUCAGCACCAGAGUGGUGGAGCCGACGGGGCCAUCGAUGGGCUCGUGGAACGAGACACCAACCUUGGUGGGCACGCCGUUGAUGGUGGCCUUCACCACCUCGCCGAAGACGUCGCACGCCUCGUAGACGUUGAACUGUGGAGAAAGAAAACCAGAAGGGUGAGAAUGGUUUGGACAAGCACGCUAGCAGACGCCAGCAACUCUGCUAGCGACAAGCCGCGAGCGUCGGUUACUGUGAUGCUCUUCGACAUUCCCGCUCGACUUUCUGGCAUAGUCGCAACCACGUGCUUACCUCGAUCUUCUUCAGGUCCGCCUUGGUGCAGCAGUAGUCAGUGCAGCCAGCCGGCACCUUGGCGCUCAGCUUGAAGCAGUACUGGUUGUUGCCCUUGGCAACGACGACAUCACCCAGCUUGUAGGCCGAGGGAGACUUCUUGCACUGGCAGUAGGGGAACGAGGUGUACAAGCCCGACUGAGCACCCUGGGCGGCCCUGCAUUCCGAAGGCACAAGGGCAAAAGAUGUGUUGGUUCGCAUGUGUGCAUCGGCGUGCAGUCUUGAACCCAUGUGUGCAUGACGUCCUAGAGAAGAUGACACUGCCAUGUACUGAUCGAUUGCGCUCCAGGCUCCAUCAAAGGCCCGCCGGCCUAAGCUGGGGAAUGCUGGCGUGCUCCAGUGGCUGUCGAGCGUCCAGGAAAGGCUGAGCUGCCACCGUGAGCUGGGGAUGCUUUCACGUUAUGACCAACACAUCUGUCUGUGACAUACAUCAAGCUAGGGGCUGGAUCGCCUACGCCGCGACAAAAAUGGCGCGACUCCGAGAGAGCCAUCACAGACACUACUCACGCGA
rnacentral:lncRNA from 1 species